rnacentral:lncRNA from 1 species
UUUUUUUUUUUUGGUGGGAUUAUUCAUACAAAGUCCUGUUCAGAGUUUCUGCCUUUUUGUGUUGGUCUCCUUAUAUUUUUGCUAAGAAUAUAAAGAUUUAGAUGUGUGAAGAACACUUAUGCCAAUUGUUGGAGAAAAUUUAGAUCUGUGAUCGGAAGCCACAUUAAAAAAUGAAGGUGGCUAGUAUUGCAAUUGAGUAUGAAAGCACUUUUUUCUCCUUUUUUAAAUUACAUGGACUACGAACCUUUUUUAUUAUUAUUAUUAUAAAGAAAUUGAAGCAAUUAUCCACAAUAAUGAAGGCACAUGAAAAUAAAAGGGAACGCCUUCGUAGAAAGUGUUUAAUUCCAAGAGUAUUUAGUGCACUGGAAAUAUUUGGUGGAUGGUAAGGUUAUUUUCUGUAGCAUUAAUUAUGAAUUUAUAAGUUGUCUGAUGUUGCAUUUGCUAUGUCUUUAGUAGAUCAUUAUUGUACACAUUCUGACAGGAGGGGGUCAACAAGAGAAAAACCUAGCUUUGAUUACAAACAUUAUGAAUUUAGACAUUAAAAAAAUAAAUAAAUAAACACAUAGGAAAAUGUUGAAUGCUGUUUUGAUAGAAAGUUUUACACACAAUAUAUGAUCAAAUAAAACACGGAGGAAAACAUCAAGCUAUAUAUUCAGGAUCAUCUUUUAGAAGCAAGCUUCAUAGAGCGAACAGCAGCAAAGAGGAAAGAGGUUGCACAAUUUACACAAAUUACAUUAUCAGAGUUUGUGUGUGUGUGUAGUGAAAAAACAAUUACAAGGUCAGCUAGCAAUUCUUGGAUGAAUGAAUAUCAAUAAAUUUCAUAGUGCAAAAAAUAGAUGUCCAUUAGUCUAACAAUGUUCAUUUGUAUCUAUUGCAGAAGUAUUGUUGAUCACUUUCUUAUCAUCUUUAAAUGAAGCCGUGGUCUCCUUUCUUCUUAGUUUGAGGCAAACACUACUUCUUCUUUCCCCUAUUGGCGUGAGGAUUUUCAGUUGGAUACCCUAUAAAUUAAUAAGAAACAAAGAUUACGAUAAUAGAUUAAAAGGAUAAAGAAGAGAAAGAGGGAGAUUGGUUCCUUUGAUUUGUAUACUAUUCAUGGUUACCGAACUGGUUAUAUAGGAUUUGCUUCAUUGACUUAAACUGUGUUGUUUUAAUGCAAAAGUAGUUGAUUGUGUGGGGAGCUUGAGAUGGAUAAUGAAUAAGAUUGCUUAUAUGAUUUUUUGAUGUGGAUUACUUGUGUCACAGCUUUUGAUUGUAAUGAAAGAUGAGCAGCAAAACAAUUGUGAAUGUCGAGCUUAUUGGAAUUUGAGGCUGUAAAAAUGGCCAAAUAUUUUAAGUUUUUUUUUUUGGUUAAAUUUUGUAGUAUGAUUUAUGAAUCGGUAAAGAUAAAUGGGAAAUUUACCCAUUUGACCAUUUUCCAACUUUUAAACAUAAAAAAAGACCUGACUUCAGUUUUUCUUACGAUAGCAACCAUUUACAAGGUUCUUAGACUAAAAUACCCCUAAAACUAAACAAAUAAACCCCCAACUCCCAAGCAAUAGCCGAAUAUCUCCACACACCACCAAAACACUUCUCAUUUCACCUCUCCCACAUUAUCCAACUAUCACUCAACCUCCCUUUUACCUAUCUCACAUUCAUCAAACUAAUAUAUUUAUCCAAGUAUUGAAGACAAAAUCAAGCAACAAACUAAAAAAUAAUAAGAAGUUAAGGUUAGUAUUUCUUCAAUCUUUAUCUUUUAUUUUUUUGAUUAGGUUUCAUACAAAAGAUUAGUUGCUCAUUUUAUUACAAUGUGGGUACAUUAAAUGGUUAAUGUGAGGUCAUAGAUUUAUAAAUUAGUAAAAUUUCGACAAAAUCCGACGGAAAUGGGUUUUGAACGAUAUUGAAGAUGAAACCUAGAAUCCAGGCGACAAGUACCUGUUGCCCUGGCGACAAAACUAUCGCCCAAGCUUAGAAUGACUUGUUGCCCGGGCGACAGGUACGUGUCACCUGGAUUUUAGUAUUCAUCACUCAGGCGACGAAAUACUACAUGUUGGGCGAUCAGUGCUCGCAUUGCCUAGUAUACAAUACUGUCGCCAAGGCGAUAGUGCUGUCAUCCAGAUCACCCGAAUUUGUUGAUAAUUAGUUAUUUAUUUAAUAUAGUUGGGCAACGCAAGCGUGUCACCCACGUUGCUUAGCCUCCCACGCCAUGCAUGCCCAUUUGGUUAGGUGAUGGGGAGAAGCCACCCGCCUUGCCCAAGCUUGACAUGGCCAAAUUUUAGGCAACACAGGCAACCAUCCACAUUCUUGAUUGGCCGACACACCAACCUUCUCAUUAACCUAAAAAUAAUUUUAAGUUUAGAUCAAUAAUUUCUUAAAGGCAUUUAAACAAACACUUGGUGUGCCAUGUAUUAGAUAUCUUAAUCUUAGAAAAACUCUAAUAUUUUCAUACCCAAUACACAUCCUAAUGAUUAAUUAUGAUCAAUGAUGAAUCAACCAGGCAAUUUUAACAAAAAAUUACUUUAAAUUAAUGAAAAAAAUCGAGAAAGUACCUAAGCCGCCGAAACCCUAGGUGAAAGAACUUGCUGGAACGAAAAUAACUCACACAAAUUGCCACUACAAGUGAAGGAAAUCGCCACUAGAAGUUAAGGAACUCGGCGGAAAUCAAGAAAUGCCGCAAGUGAAGGAACUUUGUGUGGGCGUAGUUGGGGCGAUAAGAGAUGUUUUUAGGUGAAUCUUGGGUCAAAUGUUUUGUUUGUUUUGUUUUGAGAAUUUAGGGUUAUUUUGGUCCAAGAGCUUUGGAAGUGGUUGCUAUUGUUAGAAAAAUUGGGAGUAGGGUUUUUUUAUAUGAAAAGUUGGAAAGUGAUCAAAUGGGUAAAUUUCCCAAGAUAAAUUGAUAUUUCUUAAGGGUAGGAUGGUCAUUUACACUGUUUAUAAACUUUGGCGCCCGUUUUUCAUUGAGCUAUUACCCUAUAGAUCUUCCUUAGCUUUGGUUUUAAUGGUAUAAGGGUAUUUUGGUCAUUUAAUUUAGUCAACAAACGGUCCAAUUAACGGUCCACUAACAACAAAGGAGAAAGUGGAGAUACGCUGAUACAAUCUCUCAAAAGGAAGAUACAACAAACUUUAGCGGAAGAAAUGGAAAAUUACCCAACAUUGAUACCAUUGUUGUUUGUGUCAAGUUGACUGAUUGGAGCUCCCAAAUCAAUAAUGAAGUGGCACCUCUCUUUCGAUAAUAAUAUAAUGACAAUUAUUAAAGAGAAUAGUAAUAAUUGUCAUUAAAUAAUAAUAAUAAUAAUAAUAAUAAUAAUAAUAUUAUUAUUAUUAUUAUUAUUAUUAUUAUUACUUAAUAAUGAUAAUGGUAAUAAUAUUUAUAAAAAAAAUAUUUACUCUUUAUUUUCUUAGUGAAUAAAUGCAUAAUUGUAACUAAUGACAUUUUAAUAAUUUUAUAAUCUAUUUUUAUCACAAGACAAAAUAAAUAUAUCAACGAAAAUAUAACUCAUGCCAAUUGUAAUUUUAAUAACUCAAGUAAAUAAUUUAUUCUAAUUUCCAUUCCUUCGGUUGUUAUCCAUUUUGAUUCCGAAUCAUUCCAAUUUCUAUUCAUAAAUAGCAUACAAACGGAGGGCACAGUCAGUUCCAUAAUACUUCAAUUAGACUAAAUUUUAGUAGGAGUAUUUUGCAAGUAAUAUUUUUAAAAUUUUUAUCUCUUGUGAUGCGGUUCUCACAUCUGAUUUGUAUAAGAUGACGAUGAUAGUUUAAUAAGUAAAUUUUAAUUUUUUGAUAUAUUUUGCCAAAGUUUUGAAACCUAUCUUUUAAAAAAAAUAAUUAAUCAAAGUAGCAUUGUUGGUCUGUCAAUUAAGCAACUUUAUUUUCGCUUAUUAAGCUUUGCCUAAGCUGUUGGGAAAAGAAAAAGAAAAAGAAAAAGAAAGUGUAUCUAGGCCGUAUCAUUUCAAUCCAAUCAUUGACAAGGGCUUCCAUUUCCAGGCAUGGAUAAACUUUUGUCGAAUAUCUUAAGAGUCUAAGCAAAGCUUUAGUUUCCAUUCCUAUCAAGCAAACCAGUGCCUAAUUGCCGCAUAAAUAGACAAAUUUAGUUAUCAUUUUCAGAUCCAAUAAUUAAUGAUAGACAAAGCCAUUGUAACUUUUUAAAAUGAUGAAUUAAAGCUCUAAAAAUGUACUCAUUUAUUCAUAAAUACUUCUUUUAUAUAAAAGAAGUAUUUUUUUUGUGAACAAGCAGCUUACAUUGCACUUACAAAACAAAGAAAAAAGGAAAAACAGAAUGAAGCUUACAUCGCAUAAAUGUAAGCAAGAUUAUUUAUUUAUUGAGAUACAGAUACAAAUUUAUUAUGGAGCUUCAGUUUUGAGGCUCGGUUUCAGGCUCCGUAUCAACAGCCUCACCAGCGUAAGUGCAGCACCUGCAGCCUCCAUGAUAACCAUGUCCACAGCAACCGUAGCGGCAGUGGCCACCGCCAUGGCCCCCACCACCGCCAUAGCCCCCACCACCGCCAUAGCCCCCACCACCUCCAUAGCCACCACGGCCACCGCCGUUAUAACCUCCACGGCCACCGCGGUUAUAACCUCCACGGCCGUCCUCAAUUUCAUGUGUCUCUGUGGCCUUAUCAGCUGCAUGUGUAUUUACAACGUGUUACAUAAUAAUAUUAGUAAUGAUUAAUGUUAAUAUUUAUUUAUCUUGAUAUUAUUUAUUUUGAAGAAUAAUAAACACACGUUAAAUAUGUUGUUUAUCUAAUAUCCCUAUGGCUUAUUAUGAUUAGAUAUUUUAAUAUAAUGUGCAAAAAAAAAAUCCAUGAAUGAAACAUAAUAGUUAAUUACAAUUAACUCAGUGUUAUCAAAGUGCAGAUUUGAGACUAAAUAGUGCUAUUUAGUUAGAAUACUUCAUUAAAUUAUUAUAAAAUUUCAAAUUUGUAUUUUAAAAUAUGUUUUUAUAAACUAGACAACCGUUUGUUAUAUAAGCUCACCCUUUUCGUUGUGAUCAAUGGAAGUCUCGGCCAGGUCUCUGGCUGCUACCUCGGAAGAGAUAAGAAGAGCAAUGGCCAUUAAAAGGCCUAAAAGAAGGAACAAUUUGGAACCCAUUUUUCUUUUUCUUGCUUGAGAAAACUAUCAAUGAAGGAUUGGAGAAGGAUGAUGAAAUUUGCAUUCUCAUGUUCUCUAUUUAUAGUGGGAGGGCUCAUCAGGAAGAGUAUGAUGAAUUUAUGAGUCAUGACCCACAGUUAGUUGGCUGUUGAAGAUCUACUUGUAGAAAUUAUUCAAUCUUUUUAAUUGAAUUUGUCAGUACUGGAAAAUCUAAUGUUUUCACCUACUCUCAAGUAAAAGAACGAGGUCCAUUAAUUAUGUCGGCCAAUGGAUUCAUACUAAUACUUGGUCCAGAAGUGGCCAAGUGUUUAUUAGGAAAAACAUUUCAUAUUAAUCGAAAAUAAUUAUUAAAUUAAAAAAUUAUUAAUUUUUAAAUUAAUUUUUGAGUAUAAAUUUGUUACAUACACUUUUACGACACUUUUAACUAAUAGUUUUUUAUUUUUAUUUUUUUAAAAAUCACGUAAGUAUUUAAUAUAAUUACAUUUUCAAGAUUUAAAUAAAAAAUUUUAAUUAAAUUAAAAUAAUCUUUUACCAAUUGAUUUACGCGCGUAUUAAUAACUAGUAGUUGUUCGUUUUAAAACAUGGCACAAUGUCUCUGUAACUCUUUCAUCAGUGUUGGACCCAUAGUCACCACUUGUUAUUGGACACUAGUAGUACGGAAAAUGUCGUCUUUACAAUGCGAUGAUUUUAAGAGGCAAGAUUCAAUCCAAGCCGUGAAUUGGGGAUGAAGCCACCCUGUCAUGAUAAUUGCGACGGGUAAUUUUUAAAACUUCCUUUUGAGUUUUGGACUUACUAUAAGUAGAUAGUAAAAAUUUAUUUAUUUGUAAAAAAUCUCUUACCAUCAGUUAAUUUUAACAUUGACCGUUAGUUAACUGUGCAAAGAUAAUAUUACCCUUAAUAAUAGUUUACAGACAAAAAUAACUAAAAAAAAACUAAAAUUAUUGGUUAUUUUACCCUUUUUAAAUUAUUGAUAUUUUCUUAAAGUUCUUAUAAAAAAGAUAAAAUUAAAAACUUAAAAAAUCAUCUUUAAAUUAUUGAUAUUUCCUUAAAGUUCUUACAAAAAAGAUAAAAUUAAAAACUUGAAAAUGAAAUAGUCAUAAUCUUUACCUAUGAUAUUGUAAAUCUUUGGAAUUGACAAGGAUAAAAUUAUCAAAAAAUAAGAUUUGUGCUUUUCGCGUUAAUAAUUUUAAUUUUUUUUAGUCAGUCUAUAAACUAUUAUUAAGGGUAAUAUUGUCUUUGCACAGUCAACUAACGGUCAAUGUUAAAAUUAAUUGACGGUAUGAGAUUUUUUAUAAAUAAAUAGAUUUUUACUAUCUACUUGCAACAAAUCCAAACCUCAAAAGAAAUUUUUAAAAAUUACCCUAAUUGCGACCCCAUAUGCGCGACCUGUUAAUGUCAGUCACCCACUUGUACAGUUCUUCUCAUCACAAUUGACUUUAAAGCCACGGCGUCUACAGUCUGGAUAGGAUAGAGCUAAUUUAACUAGAGAACGCGAUGAGUUCAAUAAUGCCGAUUUCGUGUCAUGUUUCAUUCUUCAUGGCAUUUCGUUAUUAAUAGGGGCGGCUCAACCUUUAGCAGACUUCAAGCAAAUUGUUUUAAUUAUGCCAGCUUAAAAAUUUAAGAUAAAAUAUAUACAUUAAUUUUAUUAUAAAAGUUAUCAUUUCAAAUCAAUUUUUUUAUAUUUUUAAGUUAUAAAAUUAUUAAUUUUCUUUUUAAAUUUUACUAACAUAUCUUUCUCAAAUGAUAACGUACUAUAGCCUAUCUUAAAUAAGUUUUUGACAAUUUAGUUUUGAAAAUUUUUAUUUUUUUUGCAAAAGUAUUUUUAUCAAUAUUAUAAACAAUUUCCUAUGAAAAAAGUACACAAUUAUUUUAGAAAAAUAAAAACAACACCCAAUGAACAUAGUAAUAUUUUUCAUAAAGGAAUCAGACAACUAAAUAACAAACUAAGUAAGAGGAAAAUGUAAAGGUAAAAUUUAAAAAUUUGAGACAAAAUCAUUAAUUAAACUUUAAUGGUUUUUGGUGUUAAGCAUUAACCAAUGACCAUGAAAAGAAAAAAAAUAAACGUUUGAUUUUUUUUGUAAAACAUUAUUACUAGAAUUAGAAACAACAACUGAUGAAAAAGCAUACAGUUAUUGCAAAAAUUUAAAACACAACACCCGAUGAAUACAAGAAUAUUUUCAUAAAGAAAUAAGACAACUCAACAACAAAAUUAAUUAAAAAUAGAGUAGAAAGAUAAAACCUGAAAAUUUAAUAUGAAAUCACAAACUAAGUUUGAUGAUUUGAGGUUUUAUGACUAUAGAAAAUAUAAAAAAAUAAACUGUUAAUUCUUUUUCUAGUAAUGCAUUUAUGGUAUCAUUGUUUUAGGAGAAAAUAUUGCUAACAGGUAAGUUCGUAAAUGUAGGUUUUUUUAAAAAAAAAUAGAGGUAGGAAUUAACAAUGUUUUAAUUAAAAUUUAUUAAUUUAACGUUACACAGAAAUUUUAUAGGAAUUAAAACUAUUAAUUCUAGAGAGAAUUUAUUGGAAUUUUGAUAAUUCAUUUAAGAAAAGAUAAUUAUGAAGCACUAAUAAAAUAAACUAAUCAUGAUUGAGUUAGUUAGAACUUAGAAAUUUAUAUAUUUUUACUAUAAAAUAAUAGAUUUAAAAUAAAUAUAAAGCCUUAAUCUAUAAUAGGGUCUUAGUCAACCGUCUAGUUGUCUAGAGAAAAAGCCACUCCUAUAUAAUUAUCAAGUGCAGAUGCCUACAUUUUUUUUUAAUGUGAACACGCUCUUAAACUAUGCGGUUUAAAAAAAUUAAAAAUAAAUUCUCUUAAAUUCCACAAUUUAAUAUCGUGUUUACACAUAAAAAAAAAAAAAGAGCGUCCAUACUAGAGAAAGAGUCAAAGAGUAAUAGUGUGUGUGUGUGUGCGUGUGUGUAUUGGGGAUAAUUUAAUUAUUGAGAAAUUAAGGUGGCGUUUGUUUUUUAACUUAAUGACUUAAAGUGACUUAACUUAAUUAAUUAAGUUAAUUAGAGGUGUUUGUUUUUAUAACUUAAUGAGACUUUUUAGAUAAUUUUGACUUAAUAAAAUAAGCCAAUUUUUUUAGCUUUUUACUUAAUGGAGAAAUCUGAAUUAAGUCAAUUACUUGUUAAUAUCAAAAAUAUCCUUGCUUUAUAAUUUAUUUUUCAUGUCUAUCCCAAACUCACCCAUAGACAUUUACCCCACAUAAAAAUAUCCAUAUUUUUUCUUUCUUAUAUUAUAUACGAUAAAAUUUAAAAUUUAUGAUAUUUUAUAUAUUAAAAUUCUAAAAUAAUUAUGUAUUCACUUGAAUAUAGUUUUGCUUAUAAAUGUUAAAAUAUUGUGGUAUUUAAUAUAUUAUUUAUUUGACAUUCAAAUUUAAUAAGGAUACAAAUGUAAAAGUACAUAUUUUUAACUUUUUAAGUUGAAAAAAAAAUAAUUUAAUACUUAUUUUUUGAGAUUUAGACGAAAAAAUAAAUAUAUUAUUCAGACUCAAACAUUCAGAUUUAUUCAGAAUUCAAACUAAUUCAGGUUUAUUCAGAUUUUAGACAAAAAAAUAAACGCCACCUAAAUCAGAACCAAAAUCUCUAAUUUCGGAAGCUAAUAAUAAUUGGUUAACUGAUUUGAUAGUUAAAGAUUUGCAAGUAGUGAAAUGUAACGUUUAUUAAUUAAUUUUUUGAUUUAACAUUUAUUCGAUCAAAGUCAUCUUAUGCUUUAGUUGAUUAUCUGAUCUAAUAUUUGUGUGUGAUAGUUGAUCUAAUCGUACGUGUGUAAUCAGUUGAUGUCGAAGGCAAUACUUGGAUAUAUUAGCUGGAGAUAAGAUCAUCGAUCCUUAUGUCGUUUAGCACGAAAAUGAAGUGCACAGCAUAUCCAAACAUGCUCCUUUUGAUUAGACUUUUCACAUUUUCAUGAUCCUCCGACAUCUAAUCGCAUUGAUUUUAGCUAAAUGAGGUGGCUACUUUUCUUUUUUCUUGUUUCCAAAGAGUGAAGAAGAUUCUGACAAUGCCGCACCCAUCAUAUUAAUUGGUACUUUAAAAACAAAGGCCCUAAGGUAUUUUGACGCUUAAUCCACUAUAUUAAUUAAAAUUUUAUGUUAGUUGGUUAAUUGGAAUUACUAAUUGCAUAUUAUCGAAAAAGAAUUAUCAUAAAGUUUUAACAAUCUUUUAGCUUGUAACAUUUUCAAAAUUAAACUGAAGCAUGUAACACUUACGAACGAGUUCUGAAUUAUGGCAAUUAACAGCUACAAGAGUUGGAGUGAGUUUUGAAGAAUAAACAAAGACUAGGAAAUAAAGUCACGGCAGAGAUCAACAUGUGAUAUUUUGGAGUCUUUCCGAAAAUCUGCAGAAAAAAAUAUUAGUAUAAUAUUCAAAAAUUAAAUAAUAACUUAAAAUAUUAUAUAAAAUAAGACAUAUAUGUAAAUAAGAUAAAGUAAUAAAGAUAGUGCUACAUUAGAGAUGCCCUAACGAUGCAAUUUGUGUUAUUGCCCGAUGCAAUUUGGGGAGCUACUGUUUUGGUGUCUGAUCCCAGUGCUGUGAUGGAGGCCAAAAAUGUUUAGCUGCGAUGGAGGCUUGUUUGCGAGAGUUCAAUGGAGGCUUCUUCAAGUGAUGUGGCUGCGAUGGAUGCUUUCUCAAGUGUUCGAAAUGUUUGUUACUUUUUUUCUGCUAUUUGUAUUUUCAAAAUUUUAAAUUUUUGGUGAGACAAAUUUGGUAAUCUUGCGAACGGAAAACUGAUCUCAGUCCUCCUUGCGAAUCACUCUUUCAUUUCUCAUUUACAAAUUGAGAUGGAUCUCAUGAUUUUUAUUUUAAUUUCCAUCUUUACUAGACAUAAUAAACGACAUUAAUAAUUUUAAUUUCUUAAUCUGAGAAGUAUACACACAAUUAGAGAAGUAUACACACAAUUAGAGAUGCAGUUGUUUCAAAUAGCAUCCAGAUAUCUCUUGAGAAUUAAAAUUCAUUAGAAAUUCAAGAGCAAAAUCUUUGUGAACUCAAUAAUAGGUCUAAGAAAAAUCAAAGAGUUGGCUUAAUUAUGAGAGAGAGAUUUUUCCAGCUUGCAGUCUGUAAAACACAGCCCCUUAUAAAAUGAGUGGUUGGCACACCUUUAAUUGCUUGUUGGCCCACCUCUAGUUGUUUCAGCUUGGAUGUACCUUACAUAAACUGUAAGGUAGCAAGACCCGAAAUAUGAUGAGAUACGUUCUUGCUCUGAACAGAAGCGUACGUCAUGUAUGACGCAGAUCGAAAUGACAUUGCUUUUUUGCAUUGACGUUGAAUCCAAUUUCAUUAACUGACGUGGGGACUCCAUGCACGUGAUAACCUGAUGGGACACAAUAUUAUUUAACAUUCUUUGCAUCUUUUUCAAUUUAUCAGCAGCCUUCGCUAUCUAUAAAUAGGGCGAAGCUGCAAUGUUCUUGUCACCGCGUCUCAAGUAACAUCACAGUGAUAAAAUCAAGCUUAGUAACUUCUUCUUCUUAAGAGAAAACAAUGGCUUCAUCUAAGAUCACUUUGUUUUUUUCUUACUUGUUUUCUCUUUGAUCUUGUUCUUUUGCCAUCUCUUCAGAUGAUCACUGAAGUGAGUAAAUCGAUUGGGGGAGAAAAAAAAGUAAUAAUAUAGUUAUAAAUUUUUUUUGUACAAACUGAUAUAUCAUGACUUAAUUGGUUGGAUUAGAUAUCGUUUAGUUCACACAAUUUAUUUUUAAUUAUUUUAUAUUUUUAUUCAACCAAUAAAUUAAUAUCAAAUCAGUUUGUACACAAUAAGUUUGCAUAAGAAUUUGUGGGUGUUGAUGCGAGAUUCUAGUUUUCUGCUCGUCCACGACCAAGAGCUCUCCUCAACUAACUCGUCCAUGACCAGAAUCUCUCCUCGUAAGACUUCCUCUCCGCAGACUCCUGUGUACACAGAGACAGGUCAGAGCACGCUAGGUAUUUUCCCGGCGUAAACCCUCCGACGCUCAAGUCAAAAACGUACGUUUUUCCUUUCUGGGAAACACGGUGAUGGGUGUCGAAGCCAACAAAAAUAAAUUCCUACUCUAAAUAAAUUGUGUAUAGUGAUUGAGUAGGUUCGUGUCCACAGAGAUCGGUAAUUAUUUAAAUCCUUUUGAAACGUAAAACGUAAAAUGGGGGAAUUGUUGACAAUAAUAAAAAUCAAAUUAAAAAUAACAAGAAUGCAAAUUAAAGUUGUAAUUCAAAUUGGAGAAAGCUCUGGUUGAAGGAAUUAACUCAGCUUGAUUCGACUACUGAUCAUUGAUUCAAAUAUAGAUUAUUAUUACUCAUGAAUAGACCGGUUAUAGCUACUGAGACCCUCUAAUAGCCAAUCUCUCCUUAACUAGUCGAUAACCAAGGUACGACCGUUGGUUAUUUCCCUAAUCAAUAGACAACCCUAGAUACGAUCAUAGAAUUUAAUCAAUUGACAGCCUGAAAAACCAGAGAGACCCAAAUCCUAAUCAACACAUAUGAUGAUUCAUUUAAAUUAGAUUCUGCUGUACGGCCAAGGCGGAUGUACGGUACAGCAGUUUACUAGUGCAUAAAUUGCACUCUAACAAAUUCCCCCACACCAAGAUGAUGCUUGUCCUCAAGCAUAUAACUCAAGAUUAAUCCCAAAUCUCCACUCAAUUCUCAUCUCAACUCAUCCAAAAAUAGAAAUUAAGUCGAUCAACAUUCGAGAGACAAGGAUUUUUAAAGCAUAGAAUCUCAUAAGAUAGAAUAAGAACAUUCAACCACCAAGAAGAUCCAUUCAAAAUUCAAGUGCAACAAGAUUUAAUAGCCCUCUCAAUGACUUCACUCCAUGCACUCAAAGUGUUUAGGGUGUCAUUUAUUCACUCAAAUCAAAUCAAAGAAUGCUAUUACCAUAAGCUUGCUCAUAUAUCACAUCUCAAUCCACAAAACAUGAAUAAAAUGCAAAAAUCUAAGGGUCUUAAAAGGGUUGUAAUGGGGUUAAAUAGGUUAAAUGAAAAAGAAAGGUCUAUGAAAGAAAAAGGGAUCAAAAUGAGAAGAAUGAACUCAUUGAAUGAACUUAUGAUAUCAAAAUGCUUAUUUCUACUCAAGUCACCACGAAUGCAAACAUUUCUUUUUCUUUUUCUCUUUUUUUUUUGAUUUUUUUUUCCAAUUUUUCUUUUUCAAUUUUUUUUCUCUUUUUUUUCUUUUCUUUUUCUUUUUUUUUUGUUUGUUUUUUUUUUUUUCGAAUCAAACAAAAGAAACGAACCUUGCACAAUUGAAUUCAAGCAUAAUGCUUGUUGAUCUAAUUGAGAAACUUUAUUACAAGGUAGAAAAAGCAACAAAAUAUAUCCACACAAUGAGUCCAAAAAUCUCCUUAAAUUGAGGCUCAAAAAGAAAAAAAAUGGUUAAGUAGAUGGAGAGAAUUAGAUGGGUAAUGGUUAAGGCUCAAACAAAGGUAGCAAAUAAAGGUCUUCGGGUAAAGAAAAAGGAAAAUGCGAGAAUAGAAAAAUGGUAAAUGGUUUGCCCUUAUCAUUUUAAUGCAUAAAAUCCCGUAAUGUGGCUUCAACAUGCAUAAUAAAGCAAGUUCUAGAAUAAACAAACUAGGAUUGAUAUUCACAUAACAAAAAUAAUUAGAGCAAAGUGGUUGCUCAUAGGCUCAAAUCCUCACAAAGUUGGUAAAUUUGCCAUCAAAUCAUGUACACUCUUCAAAUGAAUCAACCAUCAAUAGUGGUGUAGAAUGAGAAGAAGGUAUGAGUGAAGCAGAAAAGAAAAGGUAAAAAUGAUAAGAAGUGAGAAAGAUGAAAAGUGAAAGAUAAAAUGUGAGUGAUGAAAGAGCAUGAUAGAAUAAAAAUAGAUGUAAAUAAUUUGAGAUAGAUGGGAAAAAAAAAGUAGUGAGAAAGAAAAGAAAAGAUAAAAUAAUAAUAUAUAAAGCAUACUAACUCCAAAAUCAUUUAAGGAUGAGUAGAGUGAAAAAAAAAGAUAAGUAGAGUGAAAACAAUAAUUCCAGACAUCAAUAAUGCAAAAAUCCCUCCCCCACACCAAGAAAUUACAUUGUCCCCAAUGUAAGAUAAUCAAAGCUCACAUAAAAAUUAAAGCGUAAGGAUAAAAGAUUAAAGGCAAAAAGAAACUUCCCUGAAUUNNNNNNNNNNNNNNNNNNNNNNNNNNNNNNNNNNNNNNNNNNNNNNNNNNNNNNNNNNNNNNNNNNNNNNNNNNNNNNNNNNNNNNNNNNNNNNNNNNNNNNNNNNNNNNNNNNNNNNNNNNNNNNNNNNNNNNNNNNNNNNNNNNNNNNNNNNNNNNNNNNNNNNNNNNNNNNNNNNNNNNNNNNNNNNNNNNNNNNNNNNNNNNNNNNNNNNNNNNNNNNNNNNNNNNNNNNNNNNNNNNNNNNNNNNNNNNNNNNNNNNNNNNNNNNNNNNNNNNNNNNNNNNNNNNNNNNNNNNNNNNNNNNNNNNNNNNNNNNNNNNNNNNNNNNNNNNNNNNNNNNNNNNNNNNAAAAAAAAUGAAAGAUAAAAUGUGAGUGAUGAAAGAGUAUGAUAGAAUAAAAUAGAUGUAAAUAAUUUGAGAUAGAUGGGAAAAGAGUAGUGAGAGAGAGAGGAAAAGAAAAUUAAUAAUAUAUGAAGCAUACUAACUCCAAAAUCAUUUAAGGAUGAGUAGAGUGAAAAAAAAGAUAAGUAGAGUGAAAACAAUAAUUCCAGACAUCAAUAAUGCAAAAAUCCCUCCCCCACACCAAUAACUUACAUUGUCCCCAGUGUAAGAUAAUCAAAGCUCACAUAAAAAUUAAAGCGUAACUUCCCUGAAUUGUGAGCUUUGAUCCUCAUAACGUCUAUGGGCUUGGCGGGAAUGGUGGGAUAAAUCCCACACUCUUGAAGUAUGCGGCCAAAUUCUGCUCCAUCUUGUCACGGAUUUCGAUUCACGCGGCUGGAAUGCAGGUCGUAGGCUGGUUGCGGACUAUUGCUGCUCGACUGGAGCUUGCGGGUACACGGCUGCUGGUUCAGUUGCGCGCGGAUGGGACUGAUGCUGCGAACUGGUGACGCUGGAUCUGCGUGCUGCGGCUGUUGCUGCGCGCUGGGGGAUUGCUGGUUGCGCGCUGGUGAUGCUGGUUGCGUGCGGGAUGCUGCGCGCUACUGGGGCUGGUUCUGCUGCGCUAGUGGGUUGCUGGAUCUGCGCGCUGGGGUUGAUUGCACGUGAGAGCUGGGCUGACGUUGGUUCUGCGCGCUGCUAGGCAAAGGCUGGAUCUGCGCUCGCGGGUUGCUGCGUGGCUGCUUGGUGAAGGCUGAAUAUGCGCACGCGUGGGAUGGAGCUAGCUGCGCGCACAGUUGCUACUACUGCUGCGUGGGCUGGUUCGCGAUGGUGGAUCGCUGGUGCUGCGUGGCUGCUCGGUGAAGGCUGGAGAAGAAAACCAAUUAUGUGAAUUAGGGAUUUUGUGAACAGUAAAUUUUUUUUUUUUCGUUUUUUUUUUCAAAUAAAAAAAAUAUAUAUAUAUAAAAGAAAGAAAAGAAAGGAAAAGAAAAAAAAAGUUUUUUUUUUUAAUUUUCAAAUAAAUAAAUAAUUUUUUUUUUAUGAUGAACCACUUUGAGACACAAAAAAAAAAAAAAAAUUUCAGAAGUACUUUUCUAAUAAGCACGUGGGCACGCCUUAAAACCAUUUUACUUUAAAAAUGACAGAAGUACUUAUUAGUUAAGACGUGGGCACGCCUUAAAACCAUUUUACUUUAAAAAUCACAGAAGUACUUAUUAGUUAAGACGUGGGCACGCCUUAUCAAAAAUUUUCUUCUGACCAAAAUAAGCAAACACAUUAUUUUUUUUUAAAAUCUGAAUCAAAAUUAAAAGAAGAUACAACAAAAACCGAAAUAAAUAAAUCAUUUGGGUUGCCUCCCAAAAAGCGCCUUUGUUUUAUGUCUUUGGCUAGACACAUUUAUGCAUCAAUCUCCAUAAUUGGGACUCUCGAGAGCCACAUCCUCCACAAUAUUCACCGAAAAACCUUCAUAAAAAGGUUUUAAGCGAUGACCAUUAACCUUAAAAACUUUGUCAGAUGUCAGACUUCGAAUCUCAACUGCACCAUGAGAAAAAACAUUAGUAACAAUAAAAGGUCCAACCCAGCAAGAACGUAAUUUACCUGGAAAAAGUUUAAGUUUAGAAUGAAAAAGAAGAACUUUUUGACCAACAGAGAACUCCUUUCUCAAAAUCAUUCUAUCAUGAAAUGUCUUCGUCUUUUUCUUGUAAAAAAACUUCCUGCACUAUAGAGUUAAUAACAUCUACAGAGAAUACUGAAUGUUCAUCACUAUGAUAUUUCAUGGCAUCAUUCAUAUUGAAUUCUAUAACCUCUCCAUCAAACUCCAUAGUGAGAGUCCCUUUAUGUACAUCCAUUUUAGUCCUAGCAGUCUUAAGAAAAGGUCUUCCUAGCAAAAUUGGGACACAAGCUCAUCUUCUACAUACUUUGUCACUUUCUUACUAGGCUCUUGCAACUCUUUCCCACUUCUAAGGAUGACAGCACUAACGUUUUGCUUUGGAUUCACAUCAGAUUGUGAAGGCAAUCUCCCUAAUACUUGAGACUCCAGACGGCUCACUGUAGUUGCCAAUUGACUCAUUUGGUUCUCCAAGUUCUGAAUGCUUGCUGUAGUUGCCUGUUGAAAUUGUUGUGUGUUAGUCGCAAGUGAUUUAACAAUUUCUUCGAGAGAUAUACCUGACUUGGAGUUUGACUGUGGAGGUGCUGGUUGUCUUGGUGGAUACUGUUGUGGGAAUCUUGACUGCCUAACUCCAUAGCUAAAGUUGGGAUGAUCCUUCCAUCCUGGAUUGUAUGUUUGUGCAUAAGGAUCAUACCUCCUCUGAGGCAUGCCUGGAAAUCCUCCAACUGCAUUGGCUUGUUCAACGGGUUCUUCUUGAAGUGUAGGACACAUAUCAGUUGAAUGACCCAUAUUGUAACAAAUGCCACAAGUCUUCACCUGUUGCACAUUACCUACAACAAACUUUUCCACAAGAGAAGUAAGUUUAUCUAAACGUUGUUCAACAGAAGAAAUAUUUACCUCAUUCACAUUCCUUAAGGUGGCAUCUUGUCUGCUGCCAAAUUGUUGUGCGUUGGCAGCCAUAUUUGAAACAUGAUUCCAAUUAAAUUAAUCUUUUUAUAAGAUGACUAAUAAAAGACAAAAGUAGAAGCUUUGAUGAAUGAACGAUGACCAAAACUUUUGUAAAAGCGGAUGCCGAUAAAAUAAACAAAAGGCACUUUAAAAAGAAACUAAAGUGCGAUCAUCAAAGUAAGAUCAAUAAUGACUCGAUUUAUUUCACCUAUUCUGUCCACAAAUGAUGCUUCGCUAUUACAAGGUCCGAAUGGACAUUAUUUACAAAUUGUUCUUAUGUUUCACAGAAAAAUGAAAAACCGUUCAUCAUCAUAUAAUUAUGAAAUAAAUAAAUUUUAUUAAUGGAUUAUGGGGAUAUGUUAAUGUUAGGGAUAUGUUCAAAUCAUCAUAUAAGUUACUAAACGCUUCAACAAGAACAAGAAUUAAUGAGUUAAAAGUAAAAAAAAAAAAUUUUAAAAAAAGUUAAAUAAAUAAAACUUAGAAGUAAAGAAUGUUAUUUGCAAUCACCAAAAUGAAAACAGUGGAACCCUGUUUUUCCUCUCAUUUCUCUUUCUCUCUUUUUCAUUUGUUGGGAAGUGUCGCCUAAAACACUUCCUCUGCUAGGUGGAAUUAUUGGCUUGAAGAGAUGAGUUCUUGUCACAAGCACAAAUUUUAUCUGUACAUUAUUUCAUUUUAAAUGAUGAGUUCUUGUCACAUGAUCAUUACUUUUUUUGUUUUGAUUUGGUUAGUUCAUGAUAACAAACAAAUUAUUUUGCAUCACAUUAUGGUAAAAAGUUGCCCUCUUUGUUACUUCCACAGCUAUAUAGUUUAAUAUUUUGUAAUAAGAUCACAAAGUGCAUGGGAACCACUGUUCGAGUACUUCAGCCUAAUAUGAAGAUCUAUUGAAAAUUUUCCUGAUGUCAUGAUAUUAAACAAAAAAAGGUACCUCUUUUACUAAUUAAUAAGAGAAGUUUUGACCGAUUUCAUGUGACUCUCUUUUACUAAUUAAUAAGAGAAUUUUUGGCCUUAUAUCCUUGCUGUGGCGUUAGACUGUUGGUCAUUUUGAUUGUUUCCUACUUUCCGUUUACGCCAGCUGUAACAUUGUAUUAUCACCAUUUUAGCCAUUUAAAUGAAAUUUAUUUUUGUCAAAAAUAAACUGCUGUACCGUACAUCCGCCUUGGCCGUACAGCAGUAUGUCUACGCUGGUUCAAAUCCAGCUCGGCCCAAUAAUUCGCUGAUCCAACAGGAAAUGAUAUAACCCCCUUUGUUUUCCAGAAAUGCCAGAUACGAAAGACUCAAGAAUCAAAAGAGUCCAAUUCUCCGAUACUGCUGUACCGUACAUCCGCCUUGGCCGUACAGCAGAAUAUUAAAUUAAAAGUUAUAUUUAAUAAUAAUUAUUAUUAUUAUUAUAAAGCAAAAGUCAAAAAGCAAAACUCAAAAACAAUUGCAAAAGCUGCUGUACCGUACAUCCGCCUUGGCCGUACAGCAGAUGAAACUCCUUAAGAUGUUUAUGAGGAUCUUCACCUGCAAAACCAUGAAACUUGGGUAAUAAAUGAAUAAGACCAGACUUUAAUUCAAAAUUUACCUCCAAGUCUACAUAUUGAAUGCAGAGUGGUUGUUGAUUCAAGUCUGGUUCAGCUAACUCUCUAAGAGUUCUUUCUACAGGUGCAGGUCUAUCCAUCACUUGUUCUUCUGAAUCGCUAGAUGAUUCAACUAAAUCAGGCACUGUAUCUGUUUCAGAAAGUAAAGGCGACGAGGAUCGUUACUUAGCUCGCUUCGUCUGCUGUCUCAGCUAGCGAGCUGUCUUCUCAAUUUCAGGAUUAAACGAAAGUGUACAUGUACGAGAAGAACGAACCAUACACCAAGUAAAACAUAAAAAGGAUUAAAUAAAUGACACCAAUCCCCAGCAACGGCGCCAAAAUUUGAUGGGUGUCGAAGCCAACAAAAAUAAAUUCCUACUCUAAAUAAAUUGUGUAUAGUGAUUGAGCAGGGUCGUGUCCACAGAGAUCGGUAAUUAAUUAAAUCCUUUUGAAACGUAAAACGUAAAAUGGGGGAAUUGUUGACAAUAAUAAAAAUCAAAUUAAAAAUAACAAGAAUGCAAAUUAAAGUUGUAAUUCAAAUUGGAGAAAGCUCUGGUUGAAGGAAUUAACUCAGCUUGAUUCGACUACUGAUCAUUGAUUAAAAUAUAGAUUAUUAUUACUCAUGAAUAGACCGGUUAUAGCUACUGAGACCCUCUAAUAGCCAAUCUCUCCUUAACUAGUCGAUAACCAAGGUACGACCGUUGGUUAUUUCCCUAAUCAAUAGACAACCCUAGAUACGAUCAUAGAAUUUAAUCAAUUGACAGCCUGAAAAACCAGAGAGACCCAAAUCCUAAUCAACAAACACAUACGAUGGUUCAUUUAAAUUAGAUUGUUUAUUCUCAUAACACAACGCACUGCUAGUUAUUUGUCACAAACAUUAAAAUCUUCAUACAAUGAAUCUUUUAAUUGACAAUAGAUUAAGUUGAUAAUNNNNNNNNNNNNNNNNNNNNNNNNNNNNNNNNNNNNNNNNNNNNNNNNNNNNNNNNNNNNNNNNNNNNNNNNNNNNNNNNNNNNNNNNNNNNNNNNNNNNNNNNNNNNNNNNNNNNNNNNNNNNNNNNNNNNGAAUUUUAAAAAUUAUCCUAAGCAAACCACUGCUGUACGGCCAAGGCGGAUGUACGGUACAGCAAAAUCCCCCCUUUUUCACAAUAGAUUCCUCCCUUAAAUACUCUCUCUCUCUUCUCUUUUAGAAUUCUAUUUAAAAUAAAAUACUAAUAUCUGAAAUAUUAAAUUCGUAAUUACAAAAAUAACCAAAAAUACAAAACACGUUAAACUAAAAACUGCAGGUCCGCAGUUGACAGCACGCGCCCACGCCUUAUCAACAAAAUUCUUCUGCCGCUCAUAAUUUCUCCAAGGGAACAAUCAUCCUUAAACAUCAUCUUAUAGCUCAAUUUUAUCAUCAAUCAAUAGAAUUGCACCUACAAAAGUAAAACAUAAGUAAAUCACUAUUAUUAAGUGCAAAACAUUGAUAUUAAGGGAAGUAAAUAAUGCAAAACUAGUGCAUAAAUUGCACUCUAACACACGGCCACUAAUAUUAUGGCUCUUUUAUGAUCUCUCAAUAGAAAGCUCUUUUCCUAAGUUCUAAUCUCAAAAAGUCUAACCCGUUUACCUUCGUUGGUUACCUUUUUAUAGUCUUCCUUUGAAUCUGGCCCUUCCUGCAAUCCACGUCCAUCACCUCUCUCAACUCUCGGAAGUGGGUGCGUCAUUAUCGUAGUUGUGGCUGAGUGGACUUCGUGCCAUGAUUCUCGAGCAGGAAUGCACGUCUUGCCAACCGUCAUUGACCGGGUCUCCCCCCCUCAACCUCUAGCAGGAAUGGCCUUAUGCUAAAACACAACACCCGAUGAAUACAAUAAUAUUUUCAUAAAGAAAUAAGACAACUCAAUAACAAAAUUAAUUUAAAAUAGAGUAGAAAGAUAAAACCUGAAAAUUUAAUAUGAAAUCACAAACUAAGUUUGAUGAUUGGAGGUUUUAUGACUAUAGAAAAUAUAAAAAAAUAAACUAUUAAUUCUUUUUCUAGUAAUGCAUUUAUGGUAUCAUUGUUUUAGGAGAAAAUAUUGCUAACAGGUAAGUUCGCAAAUGUAGGUUUUUUUUAAAAAAAAAUAGAGGUAGGAAUUAACAAUGUUUUAAUUAAAAUUUAUUAAUUUAACGUUACACAGAAAUUUUAUAGGAAUUAAAACUAUUAAUUCUAGAGAGAAUUUAUUGGAAUUUUGAUAAUUCAUUUAAGAAAAGAUAAUUAUAAAGCAAUAAUAAAUUAAACUAAUCAUGAUUGAGUUAGUUAGAACUUAGAAAUUUAUAUAUUUUUACUAUAAAAUAAUAGAUUUAAAAUAAAUAUAAAGCCUUAAUCUAUAACAGGGUCUUAAUCAAUUGUCUAGUUGUCUAGAGAAAAAGCCACUCCUAUAUAAUUAUAAAGUGCGGAUGCCCACAUUUUUUUUAAUGUGAACACGCUCUUAAACUAUGCGGUUUAAAAGAAUUAAAAAUAAAUUCUCUUAAAUUCCAUAAUUUAACAUCGUGUUUACACAUAAAAAAAAUAAGAGCGCCCGUACUAGAUAAAGAGUCCAAGAGUAAUAUUGUGCGUGUGUAUUGGGGAUAAUUUAAUUAUUGAGAAAUUAAGUCAGAACCAAAAUCUCUAAUUUCGGAAGCUAAUAAUAAUUGGUUAACUGAUUUGAUAGUUAAAGAUUUACAAUUAGUGAAAUGUAACGUUUAUUAAUUAAUUUUUUGAUUUAACAUUUAUUCGAUCAAAGUCAUCUUAUGCUUUAGUUGAUUAUCUGAUCUAAUAUUUGUGUGUGAUAGUUGAUCUAAUCGUACGUGUGUAAUCAGUUGAUGUCGAAGGCAAUACUUGGAUAUAUUAGCUGGAGAUAAGAUCAUCGAUCCUUAUGUCGUUUAGCACGAAAAUGAAGUGCACAGCAUAUCCAAACAUGCUCCUUUUGAUUAGACUUUUCACAUUUUCAUGAUCCUCCGACAUCUAAUCGCAUUGAUUUUAGCUAAAUGAGGUGGCUACUUUUCUUUUUUCUUGUUUCCAAAGAGUGAAGAAGAUUCUGACAAUGCCGCACCCAUCAUAUUAAUUGGUACUUUAAAAACAAAGGCCCUAAGGUAUUUUGACGCUUAAUCCACUAUAUUAAUUAAAAUUUUAUGUUAGUUGGUUAAUUGGAAUUACUAAUUGCAUAUUAUCGAAAAAGAAUUAUCAUAAAGUUUUAACAAUCUUUUAGCUUGUAACAUUUUCAAAAUUAAACUGAAGCAUGUAACACUUACGAACGAGUUCUGAAUUAUGGCAAUUAACAGCUACAAGAGUUGGAGUGAGUUUUGAAGAAUAAACAAAGACUAGGAAAUAAAGUCACGGCAGAGAUCAACAUGUGAUAUUUCGGAGUCUUUCCUGAAAACCUGCAGAAAAAAUAUUGCCCAUAAAUCCAUUAUUUCUGUGAGAAAAUAUUAAAUAUAUGUAGAUGAAUUUAUUAUUAACUCCCUGCCGUGCAUUACUUGCCCCAGUGUUCGCAAUAUUAUAUAAUUCUUUUUUGAUCACCUAUUUCACUAAAUCCUUAUCGUACUUGUAUUGUUUUUCAUUUUUGAUGUUACAAAGAAUAUGAGAGAUUAUUAGUUUCUCCCCAUUAAAAUUAAUAUACACCACUUACUCUUUUAUAGUUUUCGUAACUGUCAAUCAUCCUUUUGAUAGCAUAAUUUUGCAGUUUUUUUUUGUUUGUUUUCAAAUACACUUUUAUUCAUAUUUAUUAUAAAUUAAAUAAAUUGUAUGAAUGGAGAUUAAAAAAAAAUUAAGUACUAAAAAUAAGAAAUCUAUGUUUUGAUGUAAAAAAAUUAAUAAUAAUAUUUUUUUAUACUUUUCAUUAUUUUUAACUAUUUUUCUUAUAAUAAAUAUAUAUUUUAUAUUUCCAAGAUAAAUCAUAAAAUAAACUACCCAUUUAGCCCAUUUUUCCUUUGAAUUUUUUUAUGUUAGGGGAAUGUUUAGAUAUUAUAAAAAUUUUAAAGAACUAUGUGGUAUAUAUUAAUUUGAGCAUGGAAGAAUUUGGCAACUUCCCAAAAAAAUAAUGAAUAACUUUAUAGUGCGUUUACUAAAUGGGAUUAGAAAUCAACUGGAAUCAAAAUGAGCUGGAUUCAAUAUGAGAAAUUGAAAUUAGAAUAAUUUGUUUACUUGAGCUGUAAGAAUCGAAAUUGUAUUGAGCUGUAUUAUCAUCAAUGUUGUUUACUUUAUCUUGGAAUCAGAAUAAAAAUGAAUUAGAUAGUUUCAAAUGACUAAAAUACCCUUAAUCAACUGUUAUCAUAAUUAUUAUUUUGCAUUUUAAUUAUUGUGAUUAUUAUUGUUCAAAAAUAAUAAUAAUGAUAAUUAUUAUUAUUAUUAUUAAUUAUCAUUAAUAACAACAUUAUUAUUAUUAAAAUUAAUAUGUUAACUAAUUGUAAUACAUUUAUCAAUAACAACAACAAUAAUAAUAAAUUUGUAAUUUCUAACAAUCAUUACAAAAUUGUAUUUUAAUUAUUAUGAUUAUUUUUAUUACAAAAUUAUGAUGAUGAUGAUGAUAAAAAGUAUUAUAAUCGAUAUAAUAAUAAUAAUAAUCAUCAUCAUCAUCAUCACUCUUCCAUUUCUCAUUUGCAAAUUGAGGUAGACCCCAUGAUUUUGAUUUUAAUUCCCACCUCUAUUAGACAUAGUAAACGACAUUAAUAAUUUCGAUCCUGAAUUUCGAUUUCCUAAUCUGAUAAGUAUACACAUCAUUAGAGAUGCAGUUGUUUCAAAUAUCAUCCACAUAUCUCUUGAGAAUUAAAAUUCAUUAGAAAUUCAAGAGCAAAAUCUUGGUGAACUCAACAAUAGGUCUAAGAAAAAUCAAAGAGUUGGCUUAAUUAUGACUUAUGAGAGAAGGAUUUUGCUAGCUUACAAACUAUGUAAAAUAUAGCCCCUUAUAUAAUGAGUGAUUGGCCCCGCCAUGGGUGGCUUUAAGUAUAGGCGAACAAAUCGGUCGCCUAAGACCCCAAAUUUUAGAAAGGCUUUAUUUUUUUAGUAUUAGUAAUAAUUCUCUAGUUAGUAAAGAUUUUUUAAAAAAAAAUUAUGUGUGGUAGAAAAGUCUAUUAGACAUCUCUUUAAUUAAUAAUUAUCCUAUAAUUAAUAAUUAUUAUGUUUUAUAUAAAAAAACUAUAAUUAGUUAUCUUAUUGUUAAAGAGAUAUAAUUAAUAAUAUUGUCUAACCAUUAAUUUAUUCAUUAUUAGUUUUUCCAAUAAAAAUAAGUAAAUUUUUUACCUUUUCAACUUCUUAAAAAGAUCAAUUAUUCAACAUUAGAAUUUUUGGCUUUGAGUAUUCCUUUUAAUUUCUAUUAAAAAUCUUAUAAUUUAGAAAAUCAUAGAUGAAAAAUUUCUUGUUCUCUUCUUUACAAUGAAGAUUAUUACAUGAAUUAGUUCAUUCAAAAAAGAAAAAAAAAUAGUUACUUGAAAUACAAAAUCCAUAUCCAUUAUCUAACCACCAAUUUAUGAUCUCAACUUUCUAUGUGCUACUAUUUUAAAUAUUUUAUUUAAAAAUAAUAUUGUUCUCAUUUAUUCGAUUGUUUAUUUUUAUAGAAUUUCUAAUGGUAAAUUUAGAUUUUGUUUUUGAAAAUUUUUAGAAUCUUCUUGAUUAUUUGUUAAAAUUCAAGAACUAAAACAGAAAUAAAUUUUCAGUUUUUUAUUUUAUUUUAUUGAGUAUUGAAGUUGCUAAAUAAAAAGAGGUCUCAUUAAAAAAAAAAAUUCACCUAAGGACAUGAUACUCUAAAGCUGGCCCUGGGCUCCACCUUUAAUUGCUUGUUGGCCCACCUCUAGUUGUUUUAGCUUGGAUGUACCUUACAUAAACUGUAAGGUAGCAAGACCCCGAAAUAUGAUGAGAUAUGUUCUGGUUCUGAAGAGAAGCGUACGUCAUGUAUGACGCAGAUCGAAAUGACAUUGCUUUUUUGCAUUGACGUUGAAUCCAAUUUCAUUAACUGACGUGGGGACUCCAUGCACGUGAUAACCUGAUGGGACACAAUAUUAUUUAACAUUCUUUGCAUCUUUUUCAAUUUAUCAGCAGCCUUCGCUAUCUAUAAAUAGGGCGAAGCUGCAAUGUUCUUGUCACCGCGUCUCAAGUAACAUCACAGUGAUAAAAUCAAGCUCAGUAACUUCUUCGGAAGAGAAAACAAUGGCUUCAUCUAAGAUCACUUUGAUUUUUCUUACUUGUUUUCUCUUUGAUCUUGUUCUUUUGCCAUCUCUUCAGAUGAUCACUCAAGCGAGUAAACCGAUUGGGAGAGAAAAAAAAAGUAAUAAUAUAAUUACAAAUUCUUGUACAAUUUUUUUUUUAUAAACUAAUGUAUCAUGAUUUAAUUGGUUGGAUUAGAUAUCUCUUAGUCCACAUUAUUUUUUUUAAUUAUUUUAUAUUUUUAUUCAACCAAUGAAUUAAAAUUAAAUCAGUUUGUACAAAAUAAGUUUGAAAAAGAAUUUGUGGCUAUAUCACCACUAAAAAAAAAAGAGAAAAAAGAAAAUGAUGCUUUCAUUUUCUUCAUUUCCACGCAUGCAUGAAAUUAUUUGCAUUUUCGCUUUCUAUAGUAUGUGUGCUGUGCGUAUUAAUUUCUAAAUCUGCAUAAUAAGCAUGCAACGUCAUUUGUUAGCUAAUAUUUAUUAGUUACUGCACGCCCACACACUCAUAAAUGAUACAUUCCUACAACAACAGUAGAUUAGAAGUCAUAACAUUCAACAUAUCUACCUUAAUUCAUGUUACGAGUGAAAAUACAAUCUCACAUCAACUUAUAAUAAAUUAUUAUACUAAAAUAUGCAAGUUAGAGGUUAUUCUCAACUCUAGAAAUUGUAUAUGAGUUAGUUUUUGAAUUUCUAUGGAGUAUAUACUAUACAAUAAGAUAUAAUCCUACAUAGUUCAAAGCAAGCAUAAUGCGACUAUUAAAUUAUUUUUAUUAGUCUCACACGUGCACCCGCGCGCACGGGUGUGUGUGUAUAUAGUGAGGAUUUACUUAAUUAUUGUAUUCUCAUAACUACCAAUUAUAUAUGUAAGUAUGUUUGCUCAAAUAAAAAAUCAGAUCGUGAGAAAAUCUUGAUACUAUAUAUGAAUCCUUUCAUGAUCUGAUCAUAUUUGAACUUUGAAGAAUCUUUUGACACAUAUACGCUUUUAUUUAUGUAUGGUCAUGAUUUACGUAAUUACUAUAUUCUCAAUUAUUAACUACCAAUGAUGAAAGUAUGUUUGCUCUGAUGAAAAAUUAGAUCAUUUAUAUUGUUCUCGUUAUGAAGGAAGUCUAGAAUACAUCAAAACUUCAAAAGUAACGCAACUAAUUAAUAUAUAUAUGAUAUGUGUAAUUGAAUUUAAUAUAAUCACCACUUGUAUGGUGGCUUUUCAAAAUAAAUGCACACAUAUCAGAGCAUCAUUUACUUAUUAUAUGAUUAAAAUGAUAUCUUUAAAAUAUUCUAAAAUUUCUCCAUGUAAUCACUGUGAUUUUUAUGUUUUCACUAAUCCAUUUAUUACUAUUAUAUUCUAUUGCAGAGGAAAAUGUGAAUCUCAACGGCAUCGAGGAGGCAAAGUAUGGGGGCUGCGGAUAUGGGUAACCAAACGGAAAUUAUGGAGUCGCGGUGGAUUUGGAGGGUACCCACCACGAAGAGGAUAUUGCCGGCACGGAUGCUGCCGCACCUACCGCUAUUCAAAUGACUGCUACAGUUGCUGCUCCCAUGCUGCCGACAAGCCCGACGCCGAGUUUGAAGAUGAUGAGAACUAAUUAAUAUCCUCUCCAAUAUUUGCUUCAGUUGUACCUUUGGUUUGUGAGCUUUUGUAUUGAAUGAAUAAGGCCAGUGAUGAGUCUGAACUUUUGUGCUCACGUGAAAUGCCAUGUUUGAAUAGAGCUUAAUUAGUUCAUUAUUAGUUUAUUAGGAGCAACUUCUUCUAGUCUUGUUUCAACCAAUCAAAAGCAAGUACUCCCUGGCUCCAAAUCAAAAGACUAUAGGACAGAGUUCAUACAAGCAUUAAACCCAAAUCCGUUGAGCAGUAAUUAUCCCCUCCCAAAAAUAUAUUUUAUACUUUCACCAUAUAUAAAUCUAGAACAUACAUAUAACUAUGUAUAUAACAAUAUCAUAUUAAUUAACAAAGCUAGUAGAAGUAGAAAUAUUGUAUCAAGAAAAUAUAAAAGUUCUUUUAACCUUGAAAAAUUGAGAAAUUUAUUAAAUAAAGGGUAGAGAUACACCUAAUCAAGGGGCAUAAUGAGCCUUGCCCCUUAAGAUGACUAAGAAACUGAUAUACGAAAGUAAAAAAUUAACAGAGAAAGGACUAUGGAGAUAGCUAUCAAAAACAUUAAUGAAGGAAUCCGUUGGGAUUAUUAAACAACACGUGAUUUAUAUCCCAAGAAAGAUGGUCAAGCCAAGUAAAAUCAGAAAAAUCCACAGUCAAAUUAACUAGACAGUCAACAAUACUAUCAGCUUCCCAAUUAAGUGUGAGAAACCCAAUAAUGUAUUCUUUCAACAAAUGACAGUAGUUCAGCCACAUAUUACUGAUGGUAUAAGGAGGAAGCAAAGAUAUAUUGUUGAACAAGUACAAGUAAUAAAGGAAACAGACAACUCAAUGCAACCAAUGCACAGAUUGAUUAACAAGAUCAUGCGCAAAGAAUGAUGAUCAACAGGAAAUUAAUCAAGAAAUUAACCUAUCUCUAUGUACAAGAAACAUAAAAGAUAUAAAAAACACAAAAGGGUUUAAUUAGUGUUUAAGCCAAGAACUUGGCUUACUUCCACCAAGGAACAAUCAAUACUACUUUAUUAAUGAAUCAGUUGUUUGUUUACGGAGAAUUACGAAGAAGGAAUACAUCUGGAGCCCCUGAUUAUGGUCUCAGCUACUUUAUUUUGUGCUAAGCAUUUGAAAAAAGCCCGCAAUUUCUGCCGCUAUGUAGUUGUUGUAACAGCUUUGUUAAUGUAACCAAACCAGCACUUAAUUUGGAGCCAAAACUAAUAGCAGUUAACGCUCAUUUGACUGGCGUUUGACUAAUCUAAGUCAAGCGUGUGGCCCAUCAUAGUUAAUUACACACAAAACGCAGUCGUUUUCAUAUUCACACAGAUUCCACAAUUUAUUAUUAUACGUACAUUCAUGCGAAGGUUCAUAUAUAUAUAUAUAAACGCAUAACAAACUUAAUUGAAUUUUAUUUAUUAAUAUAGCUGCCGCUAUGAAUCUCGUAAGUCGUGCCUACACUGUUCUUCAAAGAAGCGUAGAAUCGAAAUGAAAUUUGAAGCUGUAUUUUUAAUUCAACCUUUGACUUUAUUGGGCAAUUCCUAUUGAUAUAUUGGAUUAUGUAGAGAACAUGAUGAGCCCACCGAUUUUCAAAAGUAAUUGAAUCGCCACACCAGCAAAUUACACAAAUAUGCAUGCACGCCCACCGACUCGAAUUUUUCUGCGAACCUACUACUUCUCACUUCUCAGGCGAUCGAUUCAAAAACCCAUGGCAAAAUUUUGAAACGACCUUUCAAGUUUGCACCUAUAAAUACAAACAACACCCAACUUAUGUUUCAACAAGAUCAAAAACUUCAGACCCUCUGACUUUACAUAUUACUAUAAAGCAAAAGAAGGCAGCAUAUAUAAGAGCAAAAUGAGUGUGGAAGUGUUAGAUAGUGCCACAAUUGUAAGCUUUGUGGAAGAUGAAGAAGCAUUCAACAACUCGAUACGAAACCGUUUUGCCCAUCUUGAUACAGAUCAUGAUGGUCUCCUUUCUUAUGCAGAAAUGAUGCAGGAGCUCAAGAGUCUGAGGGUCUUUGAGACCCAUUUUGGCAUCGACGAGAAACCAGACCCAGAAGAGCUUGCUAGUGUUUACAACUCUCUGUUUGUCCAAUUCGAUCAUGACUCAAAUGGCACGGUGGAUUUGGAGGAGUUCAAGGCAGAGACCAAGCAAAUGAUGCUUGCCGUGGCCAAUGGUCUCGGUUUCUUGCCUGUGCAAAUGGUUCUGGAAGAGGAUAGCAUCCUGAAGAAGGUUGUGGAGAAGGAAUCAACUGCCAAAGUGGUAGUUUAAAUUGCUUGUUCUGACUUCUGACUGAAUUAAUUGUUUGUUUUGUUUUCGUUUUUCACUUUUCUGCUGUACGGCCAAGGCGGAUGUACGGUACAGCAGCUCUUGAGAAUUAAAAUUCAUUAGAAAUUCAAGAGCAAAAUCUUGGUGAACUCAACAAUAGGUCUAAGAAAAAUCAAAGAGUUGGCUUAAUUAUGACUUAUGAGAGAAGGAUUUUGCUAGCUUACAAACUAUGUAAAAUAUAGCCCCUUAUAUAAUGAGUGAUUGGCCCCGCCAUGGGUGGCUUUAAGUAUAGGCGAACAAAUCGGUCGCCUAAGACCCCAAAUUUUAGAAAGGCUUUAUUUUUUUAGUAUUAGUAAUAAUUCUCUAGUUAGUAAAGAUUUUUUAAAAAAAAAUUAUGUGUGGUAGAAAAGUCUAUUAGACAUCUCUUUAAUUAAUAAUUAUCCUAUAAUUAAUAAUUAUUAUGUUUUAUAUAAAAAAACUAUAAUUAGUUAUCUUAUUGUUAAAGAGAUAUAAUUAAUAAUAUUGUCUAACCAUUAAUUUAUUCAUUAUUAGUUUUUCCAAUAAAAAUAAGUAAAUUUUUUACCUUUUCAACUUCUUAAAAAGAUCAAUUAUUCAACAUUAGAAUUUUUGGCUUUGAGUAUUCCUUUUAAUUUCUAUUAAAAAUCUUAUAAUUUAGAAAAUCAUAGAUGAAAAAUUUCUUGUUCUCUUCUUUACAAUGAAGAUUAUUACAUGAAUUAGUUCAUUCAAAAAAGAAAAAAAAAUAGUUACUUGAAAUACAAAAUCCAUAUCCAUUAUCUAACCACCAAUUUAUGAUCUCAACUUUCUAUGUGCUACUAUUUUAAAUAUUUUAUUUAAAAAUAAUAUUGUUCUCAUUUAUUCGAUUGUUUAUUUUUAUAGAAUUUCUAAUGGUAAAUUUAGAUUUUGUUUUUGAAAAUUUUUAGAAUCUUCUUGAUUAUUUGUUAAAAUUCAAGAACUAAAACAGAAAUAAAUUUUCAGUUUUUUAUUUUAUUUUAUUGAGUAUUGAAGUUGCUAAAUAAAAAGAGGUCUCAUUAAAAAAAAAAAUUCACCUAAGGACAUGAUACUCUAAAGCUGGCCCUGGGCUCCACCUUUAAUUGCUUGUUGGCCCACCUCUAGUUGUUUUAGCUUGGAUGUACCUUACAUAAACUGUAAGGUAGCAAGACCCCGAAAUAUGAUGAGAUAUGUUCUGGUUCUGAAGAGAAGCGUACGUCAUGUAUGACGCAGAUCGAAAUGACAUUGCUUUUUUGCAUUGACGUUGAAUCCAAUUUCAUUAACUGACGUGGGGACUCCAUGCACGUGAUAACCUCAUGGGACACAAUAUUAUUUAACAUUCUUUUCAAGUAACAUCACAGUGAUAAAAUCAAGCUCAGUAACUUCUUCGGAAGAGAAAACAAUGGCUUCAUCUAAGAUCACUUUGAUUUUUCUUACUUGUUUUCUCUUUGAUCUUGUUCUUUUGCCAUCUCUUCAGAUGAUCACUCAAGCGAGUAAACCGAUUGGGAGAGAAAAAAAAAGUAAUAAUAUAAUUACAAAUUCUUGUACAAUUUUUUUUUUAUAAACUAAUGUAUCAUGAUUUAAUUGGUUGGAUUAGAUAUCUCUUAGUCCACAUUAUUUUUUUUAAUUAUUUUAUAUUUUUAUUCAACCAAUGAAUUAAAAUUAAAUCAGUUUGUACAAAAUAAGUUUGAAAAAGAAUUUGUGGCUAUAUCACCACUAAAAAAAAAAGAGAAAAAAGAAAAUGAUGCUUUCAUUUUCUUCAUUUCCACGCAUGCAUGAAAUUAUUUGCAUUUUCGCUUUCUAUAGUAUGUGUGCUGUGCGUAUUAAUUUCUAAAUCUGCAUAAUAAGCAUGCAACGUCAUUUGUUAGCUAAUAUUUAUUAGUUACUGCACGCCCACACACUCAUAAAUGAUACAUUCCUACAACAACAGUAGAUUAGAAGUCAUAACAUUCAACAUAUCUACCUUAAUUCAUGUUACGAGUGAAAAUACAAUCUCACAUCAACUUAUAAUAAAUUAUUAUACUAAAAUAUGCAAGUUAGAGGUUAUUCUCAACUCUAGAAAUUGUAUAUGAGUUAGUUUUUGAAUUUCUAUGGAGUAUAUACUAUACAAUAAGAUAUAAUCCUACAUAGUUCAAAGCAAGCAUAAUGCGACUAUUAAAUUAUUUUUAUUAGUCUCACACGUGCACCCGCGCGCACGGGUGUGUGUGUAUAUAGUGAGGAUUUACUUAAUUAUUGUAUUCUCAUAACUACCAAUUAUAUAUGUAAGUAUGUUUGCUCAAAUAAAAAAUCAGAUCGUGAGAAAAUCUUGAUACUAUAUAUGAAUCCUUUCAUGAUCUGAUCAUAUUUGAACUUUGAAGAAUCUUUUGACACAUAUACGCUUUUAUUUAUGUAUGGUCAUGAUUUACGUAAUUACUAUAUUCUCAAUUAUUAACUACCAAUGAUGAAAGUAUGUUUGCUCUGAUGAAAAAUUAGAUCAUUUAUAUUGUUCUCGUUAUGAAGGAAGUCUAGAAUACAUCAAAACUUCAAAAGUAACGCAACUAAUUAAUAUAUAUAUGAUAUGUGUAAUUGAAUUUAAUAUAAUCACCACUUGUAUGGUGGCUUUUCAAAAUAAAUGCACACAUAUCAGAGCAUCAUUUACUUAUUAUAUGAUUAAAAUGAUAUCUUUAAAAUAUUCUAAAAUUUCUCCAUGUAAUCACUGUGAUUUUUAUGUUUUCACUAAUCCAUUUAUUACUAUUAUAUUCUAUUGCAGAGGAAAAUGUGAAUCUCAACGGCAUCGAGGAGGCAAAGUAUGGGGGCUGCGGAUAUGGGUAACCAAACGGAAAUUAUGGAGUCGCGGUGGAUUUGGAGGGUACCCACCACGAAGAGGAUAUUGCCGGCACGGAUGCUGCCGCACCUACCGCUAUUCAAAUGACUGCUACAGUUGCUGCUCCCAUGCUGCCGACAAGCCCGACGCCGAGUUUGAAGAUGAUGAGAACUAAUUAAUAUCCUCUCCAAUAUUUGCUUCAGUUGUACCUUUGGUUUGUGAGCUUUUGUAUUGAAUGAAUAAGGCCAGUGAUGAGUCUGAACUUUUGUGCUCACGUGAAAUGCCAUGUUUGAAUAGAGCUUAAUUAGUUCAUUAUUAGUUUAUUAGGAGCAACUUCUUCUAGUCUUGUUUCAACCAAUCAAAAGCAAGUACUCCCUGGCUCCAAAUCAAAAGACUAUAGGACAGAGUUCAUACAAGCAUUAAACCCAAAUCCGUUGAGCAGUAAUUAUCCCCUCCCAAAAAUAUAUUUUAUACUUUCACCAUAUAUAAAUCUAGAACAUACAUAUAACUAUGUAUAUAACAAUAUCAUAUUAAUUAACAAAGCUAGUAGAAGUAGAAAUAUUGUAUCAAGAAAAUAUAAAAGUUCUUUUAACCUUGAAAAAUUGAGAAAUUUAUUAAAUAAAGGGUAGAGAUACACCUAAUCAAGGGGCAUAAUGAGCCUUGCCCCUUAAGAUGACUAAGAAACUGAUAUACGAAAGUAAAAAAUUAACAGAGAAAGGACUAUGGAGAUAGCUAUCAAAAACAUUAAUGAAGGAAUCCGUUGGGAUUAUUAAACAACACGUGAUUUAUAUCCCAAGAAAGAUGGUCAAGCCAAGUAAAAUCAGAAAAAUCCACAGUCAAAUUAACUAGACAGUCAACAAUACUAUCAGCUUCCCAAUUAAGUGUGAGAAACCCAAUAAUGUAUUCUUUCAACAAAUGACAGUAGUUCAGCCACAUAUUACUGAUGGUAUAAGGAGGAAGCAAAGAUAUAUUGUUGAACAAGUACAAGUAAUAAAGGAAACAGACAACUCAAUGCAACCAAUGCACAGAUUGAUUAACAAGAUCAUGCGCAAAGAAUGAUGAUCAACAGGAAAUUAAUCAAGAAAUUAACCUAUCUCUAUGUACAAGAAACAUAAAAGAUAUAAAAAACACAAAAGGGUUUAAUUAGUGUUUAAGCCAAGAACUUGGCUUACUUCCACCAAGGAACAAUCAAUACUACUUUAUUAAUGAAUCAGUUGUUUGUUUACGGAGAAUUACGAAGAAGGAAUACAUCUGGAGCCCCUGAUUAUGGUCUCAGCUACUUUAUUUUGUGCUAAGCAUUUGAAAAAAGCCCGCAAUUUCUGCCGCUAUGUAGUUGUUGUAACAGCUUUGUUAAUGUAACCAAACCAGCACUUAAUUUGGAGCCAAAACUAAUAGCAGUUAACGCUCAUUUGACUGGCGUUUGACUAAUCUAAGUCAAGCGUGUGGCCCAUCAUAGUUAAUUACACACAAAACGCAGUCGUUUUCAUAUUCACACAGAUUCCACAAUUUAUUAUUAUACGUACAUUCAUGCGAAGGUUCAUAUAUAUAUAUAUAAACGCAUAACAAACUUAAUUGAAUUUUAUUUAUUAAUAUAGCUGCCGCUAUGAAUCUCGUAAGUCGUGCCUACACUGUUCUUCAAAGAAGCGUAGAAUCGAAAUGAAAUUUGAAGCUGUAUUUUUAAUUCAACCUUUGACUUUAUUGGGCAAUUCCUAUUGAUAUAUUGGAUUAUGUAGAGAACAUGAUGAGCCCACCGAUUUUCAAAAGUAAUUGAAUCGCCACACCAGCAAAUUACACAAAUAUGCAUGCACGCCCACCGACUCGAAUUUUUCUGCGAACCUACUACUUCUCACUUCUCAGGCGAUCGAUUCAAAAACCCAUGGCAAAAUUUUGAAACGACCUUUCAAGUUUGCACCUAUAAAUACAAACAACACCCAACUUAUGUUUCAACAAGAUCAAAAACUUCAGACCCUCUGACUUUACAUAUUACUAUAAAGCAAAAGAAGGCAGCAUAUAUAAGAGCAAAAUGAGUGUGGAAGUGUUAGAUAGUGCCACAAUUGUAAGCUUUGUGGAAGAUGAAGAAGCAUUCAACAACUCGAUACGAAACCGUUUUGCCCAUCUUGAUACAGAUCAUGAUGGUCUCCUUUCUUAUGCAGAAAUGAUGCAGGAGCUCAAGAGUCUGAGGGUCUUUGAGACCCAUUUUGGCAUCGACGAGAAACCAGACCCAGAAGAGCUUGCUAGUGUUUACAACUCUCUGUUUGUCCAAUUCGAUCAUGACUCAAAUGGCACGGUGGAUUUGGAGGAGUUCAAGGCAGAGACCAAGCAAAUGAUGCUUGCCGUGGCCAAUGGUCUCGGUUUCUUGCCUGUGCAAAUGGUUCUGGAAGAGGAUAGCAUCCUGAAGAAGGUUGUGGAGAAGGAAUCAACUGCCAAAGUGGUAGUUUAAAUUGCUUGUUCUGACUUCUGACUGAAUUAAUUGUUUGUUUUGUUUUCGUUUUUCACUUUUCUGCUGUACGGCCAAGGCGGAUGUACGGUACAGCAGCUCUUGAGAAUUAAAAUUCAUUAGAAAUUCAAGAGCAAAAUCUUGGUGAACUCAACAAUAGGUCUAAGAAAAAUCAAAGAGUUGGCUUAAUUAUGACUUAUGAGAGAAGGAUUUUGCUAGCUUACAAACUAUGUAAAAUAUAGCCCCUUAUAUAAUGAGUGAUUGGCCCCGCCAUGGGUGGCUUUAAGUAUAGGCGAACAAAUCGGUCGCCUAAGACCCCAAAUUUUAGAAAGGCUUUAUUUUUUUAGUAUUAGUAAUAAUUCUCUAGUUAGUAAAGAUUUUUUAAAAAAAAAUUAUGUGUGGUAGAAAAGUCUAUUAGACAUCUCUUUAAUUAAUAAUUAUCCUAUAAUUAAUAAUUAUUAUGUUUUAUAUAAAAAAACUAUAAUUAGUUAUCUUAUUGUUAAAGAGAUAUAAUUAAUAAUAUUGUCUAACCAUUAAUUUAUUCAUUAUUAGUUUUUCCAAUAAAAAUAAGUAAAUUUUUUACCUUUUCAACUUCUUAAAAAGAUCAAUUAUUCAACAUUAGAAUUUUUGGCUUUGAGUAUUCCUUUUAAUUUCUAUUAAAAAUCUUAUAAUUUAGAAAAUCAUAGAUGAAAAAUUUCUUGUUCUCUUCUUUACAAUGAAGAUUAUUACAUGAAUUAGUUCAUUCAAAAAAGAAAAAAAAAUAGUUACUUGAAAUACAAAAUCCAUAUCCAUUAUCUAACCACCAAUUUAUGAUCUCAACUUUCUAUGUGCUACUAUUUUAAAUAUUUUAUUUAAAAAUAAUAUUGUUCUCAUUUAUUCGAUUGUUUAUUUUUAUAGAAUUUCUAAUGGUAAAUUUAGAUUUUGUUUUUGAAAAUUUUUAGAAUCUUCUUGAUUAUUUGUUAAAAUUCAAGAACUAAAACAGAAAUAAAUUUUCAGUUUUUUAUUUUAUUUUAUUGAGUAUUGAAGUUGCUAAAUAAAAAGAGGUCUCAUUAAAAAAAAAAAUUCACCUAAGGACAUGAUACUCUAAAGCUGGCCCUGGGCUCCACCUUUAAUUGCUUGUUGGCCCACCUCUAGUUGUUUUAGCUUGGAUGUACCUUACAUAAACUGUAAGGUAGCAAGACCCCGAAAUAUGAUGAGAUAUGUUCUGGUUCUGAAGAGAAGCGUACGUCAUGUAUGACGCAGAUCGAAAUGACAUUGCUUUUUUGCAUUGACGUUGAAUCCAAUUUCAUUAACUGACGUGGGGACUCCAUGCACGUGAUAACCUCAUGGGACACAAUAUUAUUUAACAUUCUUUUCAAGUAACAUCACAGUGAUAAAAUCAAGCUCAGUAACUUCUUCGGAAGAGAAAACAAUGGCUUCAUCUAAGAUCACUUUGAUUUUUCUUACUUGUUUUCUCUUUGAUCUUGUUCUUUUGCCAUCUCUUCAGAUGAUCACUCAAGCGAGUAAACCGAUUGGGAGAGAAAAAAAAAGUAAUAAUAUAAUUACAAAUUCUUGUACAAUUUUUUUUUUAUAAACUAAUGUAUCAUGAUUUAAUUGGUUGGAUUAGAUAUCUCUUAGUCCACAUUAUUUUUUUUAAUUAUUUUAUAUUUUUAUUCAACCAAUGAAUUAAAAUUAAAUCAGUUUGUACAAAAUAAGUUUGAAAAAGAAUUUGUGGCUAUAUCACCACUAAAAAAAAAAGAGAAAAAAGAAAAUGAUGCUUUCAUUUUCUUCAUUUCCACGCAUGCAUGAAAUUAUUUGCAUUUUCGCUUUCUUUAUUCUGCUGUACCGUACAUCCGCCUUGGCCGUACAGCAGGUAAUAAUUGUCAUUAAAUAAUAAUGAUAAUGGUAAUAAUAUUUAUAAAAAAAAUAUUUACUCUUUAUUUUCUUAGUGAAUAAAUGCAUAAUUGUAACUAAUGACAUUUUAAUAAUUUUAUAAUCUAUUUUUAUCACAAGACAAAAUAAAUAUAUCAACGAAAAUAUAACUCAUGCCAAUUGUAAUUUUAAUAACUCAAGUAAAUAAUUUAUUCUAAUUUCCAUUCCUUCGGUUGUUAUCCAUUUUGAUUCCGAAUCAUUCCAAUUUCUAUUCAUAAAUAGCAUACAAACGGAGGGCACAGUCAGUUCCAUAAUACUUCAAUUAGACUAAAUUUUAGUAGGAGUAUUUUGCAAGUAAUAUUUUUAAAAUUUUUAUCUCUUGUGAUGCGGUUCUCACAUCUGAUUUGUAUAAGAUGACGAUGAUAGUUUAAUAAGUAAAUUUUAAUUUUUUGAUAUAUUUUGCCAAAGUUUUGAAACCUAUCUUUUAAAAAAAAUAAUUAAUCAAAGUAGCAUUGUUGGUCUGUCAAUUAAGCAACUUUAUUUUCGCUUAUUAAGCUUUGCCUAAGCUGUUGGGAAAAGAAAAAGAAAAAGAAAAAGAAAGUGUAUCUAGGCCGUAUCAUUUCAAUCCAAUCAUUGACAAGGGCUUCCAUUUCCAGGCAUGGAUAAACUUUUGUCGAAUAUCUUAAGAGUCUAAGCAAAGCUUUAGUUUCCAUUCCUAUCAAGCAAACCAGUGCCUAAUUGCCGCAUAAAUAGACAAAUUUAGUUAUCAUUUUCAGAUCCAAUAAUUAAUGAUAGACAAAGCCAUUGUAACUUUUUAAAAUGAUGAAUUAAAGCUCUAAAAAUGUACUCAUUUAUUCAUAAAUACUUCUUUUAUAUAAAAGAAGUAUUUUUUUUGUGAACAAGCAGCUUACAUUGCACUUACAAAACAAAGAAAAAAGGAAAAACAGAAUGAAGCUUACAUCGCAUAAAUGUAAGCAAGAUUAUUUAUUUAUUGAGAUACAGAUACAAAUUUAUUAUGGAGCUUCAGUUUUGAGGCUCGGUUUCAGGCUCCGUAUCAACAGCCUCACCAGCGUAAGUGCAGCACCUGCAGCCUCCAUGAUAACCAUGUCCACAGCAACCGUAGCGGCAGUGGCCACCGCCAUGGCCCCCACCACCGCCAUAGCCCCCACCACCGCCAUAGCCCCCACCACCUCCAUAGCCACCACGGCCACCGCCGUUAUAACCUCCACGGCCACCGCGGUUAUAACCUCCACGGCCGUCCUCAAUUUCAUGUGUCUCUGUGGCCUUAUCAGCUGCAUGUGUAUUUACAACGUGUUACAUAAUAAUAUUAGUAAUGAUUAAUGUUAAUAUUUAUUUAUCUUGAUAUUAUUUAUUUUGAAGAAUAAUAAACACACGUUAAAUAUGUUGUUUAUCUAAUAUCCCUAUGGCUUAUUAUGAUUAGAUAUUUUAAUAUAAUGUGCAAAAAAAAAAUCCAUGAAUGAAACAUAAUAGUUAAUUACAAUUAACUCAGUGUUAUCAAAGUGCAGAUUUGAGACUAAAUAGUGCUAUUUAGUUAGAAUACUUCAUUAAAUUAUUAUAAAAUUUCAAAUUUGUAUUUUAAAAUAUGUUUUUAUAAACUAGACAACCGUUUGUUAUAUAAGCUCACCCUUUUCGUUGUGAUCAAUGGAAGUCUCGGCCAGGUCUCUGGCUGCUACCUCGGAAGAGAUAAGAAGAGCAAUGGCCAUUAAAAGGCCUAAAAGAAGGAACAAUUUGGAACCCAUUUUUCUUUUUCUUGCUUGAGAAAACUAUCAAUGAAGGAUUGGAGAAGGAUGAUGAAAUUUGCAUUCUCAUGUUCUCUAUUUAUAGUGGGAGGGCUCAUCAGGAAGAGUAUGAUGAAUUUAUGAGUCAUGACCCACAGUUAGUUGGCUGUUGAAGAUCUACUUGUAGAAAUUAUUCAAUCUUUUUAAUUGAAUUUGUCAGUACUGGAAAAUCUAAUGUUUUCACCUACUCUCAAGUAAAAGAACGAGGUCCAUUAAUUAUGUCGGCCAAUGGAUUCAUACUAAUACUUGGUCCAGAAGUGGCCAAGUGUUUAUUAGGAAAAACAUUUCAUAUUAAUCGAAAAUAAUUAUUAAAUUAAAAAAUUAUUAAUUUUUAAAUUAAUUUUUGAGUAUAAAUUUGUUACAUACACUUUUACGACACUUUUAACUAAUAGUUUUUUAUUUUUAUUUUUUUAAAAAUCACGUAAGUAUUUAAUAUAAUUACAUUUUCAAGAUUUAAAUAAAAAAUUUUAAUUAAAUUAAAAUAAUCUUUUACCAAUUGAUUUACGCGCGUAUUAAUAACUAGUAGUUGUUCGUUUUAAAACAUGGCACAAUGUCUCUGUAACUCUUUCAUCAGUGUUGGACCCAUAGUCACCACUUGUUAUUGGACACUAGUAGUACGGAAAAUGUCGUCUUUACAAUGCGAUGAUUUUAAGAGGCAAGAUUCAAUCCAAGCCGUGAAUUGGGGAUGAAGCCACCCUGUCAUGAUAAUUGCGACGGGUAAUUUUUAAAACUUCCUUUUGAGUUUUGGACUUACUAUAAGUAGAUAGUAAAAAUUUAUUUAUUUGUAAAAAAUCUCUUACCAUCAGUUAAUUUUAACAUUGACCGUUAGUUAACUGUGCAAAGAUAAUAUUACCCUUAAUAAUAGUUUACAGACAAAAAUAACUAAAAAAAAACUAAAAUUAUUGGUUAUUUUACCCUUUUUAAAUUAUUGAUAUUUUCUUAAAGUUCUUAUAAAAAAGAUAAAAUUAAAAACUUAAAAAAUCAUCUUUAAAUUAUUGAUAUUUCCUUAAAGUUCUUACAAAAAAGAUAAAAUUAAAAACUUGAAAAUGAAAUAGUCAUAAUCUUUACCUAUGAUAUUGUAAAUCUUUGGAAUUGACAAGGAUAAAAUUAUCAAAAAAUAAGAUUUGUGCUUUUCGCGUUAAUAAUUUUAAUUUUUUUUAGUCAGUCUAUAAACUAUUAUUAAGGGUAAUAUUGUCUUUGCACAGUCAACUAACGGUCAAUGUUAAAAUUAAUUGACGGUAUGAGAUUUUUUAUAAAUAAAUAGAUUUUUACUAUCUACUUGCAACAAAUCCAAACCUCAAAAGAAAUUUUUAAAAAUUACCCUAAUUGCGACCCCAUAUGCGCGACCUGUUAAUGUCAGUCACCCACUUGUACAGUUCUUCUCAUCACAAUUGACUUUAAAGCCACGGCGUCUACAGUCUGGAUAGGAUAGAGCUAAUUUAACUAGAGAACGCGAUGAGUUCAAUAAUGCCGAUUUCGUGUCAUGUUUCAUUCUUCAUGGCAUUUCGUUAUUAAUAGGGGCGGCUCAACCUUUAGCAGACUUCAAGCAAAUUGUUUUAAUUAUGCCAGCUUAAAAAUUUAAGAUAAAAUAUAUACAUUAAUUUUAUUAUAAAAGUUAUCAUUUCAAAUCAAUUUUUUUAUAUUUUUAAGUUAUAAAAUUAUUAAUUUUCUUUUUAAAUUUUACUAACAUAUCUUUCUCAAAUGAUAACGUACUAUAGCCUAUCUUAAAUAAGUUUUUGACAAUUUAGUUUUGAAAAUUUUUAUUUUUUUUGCAAAAGUAUUUUUAUCAAUAUUAUAAACAAUUUCCUAUGAAAAAAGUACACAAUUAUUUUAGAAAAAUAAAAACAACACCCAAUGAACAUAGUAAUAUUUUUCAUAAAGGAAUCAGACAACUAAAUAACAAACUAAGUAAGAGGAAAAUGUAAAGGUAAAAUUUAAAAAUUUGAGACAAAAUCAUUAAUUAAACUUUAAUGGUUUUUGGUGUUAAGCAUUAACCAAUGACCAUGAAAAGAAAAAAAAUAAACGUUUGAUUUUUUUUGUAAAACAUUAUUACUAGAAUUAGAAACAACAACUGAUGAAAAAGCAUACAGUUAUUGCAAAAAUUUAAAACACAACACCCGAUGAAUACAAGAAUAUUUUCAUAAAGAAAUAAGACAACUCAAUAACAAAAUUAAUUUAAAAUAGAGUAGAAAGAUAAAACCUGAAAAUUUAAUAUGAAAUCACAAACUAAGUUUGAUGAUUGGAGGUUUUAUGACUAUAGAAAAUAUAAAAAAAUAAACUGUUAAUUCUUUUUCUAGUAAUGCAUUUAUGGUAUCAUUGUUUUAGGAGAAAAUAUUGCUAACAGGUAAGUUCGCAAAUGUAGGUUUUUUUUAAAAAAAAAUAGAGGUAGGAAUUAACAAUGUUUUAAUUAAAAUUUAUUAAUUUAACGUUACACAGAAAUUUUAUAGGAAUUAAAACUAUUAAUUCUAGAGAGAAUUUAUUGGAAUUUUGAUAAUUCAUUUAAGAAAAGAUAAUUAUAAAGCAAUAAUAAAUUAAACUAAUCAUGAUUGAGUUAGUUAGAACUUAGAAAUUUAUAUAUUUUUACUAUAAAAUAAUAGAUUUAAAAUAAAUAUAAAGCCUUAAUCUAUAACAGGGUCUUAAUCAAUUGUCUAGUUGUCUAGAGAAAAAGCCACUCCUAUAUAAUUAUAAAGUGCGGAUGCCCACAUUUUUUUUAAUGUGAACACGCUCUUAAACUAUGCGGUUUAAAAGAAUUAAAAAUAAAUUCUCUUAAAUUCCAUAAUUUAACAUCGUGUUUACACAUAAAAAAAAUAAGAGCGCCCGUACUAGAUAAAGAGUCCAAGAGUAAUAUUGUGCGUGUGUAUUGGGGAUAAUUUAAUUAUUGAGAAAUUAAGUCAGAACCAAAAUCUCUAAUUUCGGAAGCUAAUAAUAAUUGGUUAACUGAUUUGAUAGUUAAAGAUUUACAAUUAGUGAAAUGUAACGUUUAUUAAUUAAUUUUUUGAUUUAACAUUUAUUCGAUCAAAGUCAUCUUAUGCUUUAGUUGAUUAUCUGAUCUAAUAUUUGUGUGUGAUAGUUGAUCUAAUCGUACGUGUGUAAUCAGUUGAUGUCGAAGGCAAUACUUGGAUAUAUUAGCUGGAGAUAAGAUCAUCGAUCCUUAUGUCGUUUAGCACGAAAAUGAAGUGCACAGCAUAUCCAAACAUGCUCCUUUUGAUUAGACUUUUCACAUUUUCAUGAUCCUCCGACAUCUAAUCGCAUUGAUUUUAGCUAAAUGAGGUGGCUACUUUUCUUUUUUCUUGUUUCCAAAGAGUGAAGAAGAUUCUGACAAUGCCGCACCCAUCAUAUUAAUUGGUACUUUAAAAACAAAGGCCCUAAGGUAUUUUGACGCUUAAUCCACUAUAUUAAUUAAAAUUUUAUGUUAGUUGGUUAAUUGGAAUUACUAAUUGCAUAUUAUCGAAAAAGAAUUAUCAUAAAGUUUUAACAAUCUUUUAGCUUGUAACAUUUUCAAAAUUAAACUGAAGCAUGUAACACUUACGAACGAGUUCUGAAUUAUGGCAAUUAACAGCUACAAGAGUUGGAGUGAGUUUUGAAGAAUAAACAAAGACUAGGAAAUAAAGUCACGGCAGAGAUCAACAUGUGAUAUUUCGGAGUCUUUCCUGAAAACCUGCAGAAAAAAUAUUGCCCAUAAAUCCAUUAUUUCUGUGAGAAAAUAUUAAAUAUAUGUAGAUGAAUUUAUUAUUAACUCCCUGCCGUGCAUUACUUGCCCCAGUGUUCGCAAUAUUAUAUAAUUCUUUUUUGAUCACCUAUUUCACUAAAUCCUUAUCGUACUUGUAUUGUUUUUCAUUUUUGAUGUUACAAAGAAUAUGAGAGAUUAUUAGUUUCUCCCCAUUAAAAUUAAUAUACACCACUUACUCUUUUAUAGUUUUCGUAACUGUCAAUCAUCCUUUUGAUAGCAUAAUUUUGCAGUUUUUUUUUGUUUGUUUUCAAAUACACUUUUAUUCAUAUUUAUUAUAAAUUAAAUAAAUUGUAUGAAUGGAGAUUAAAAAAAAAUUAAGUACUAAAAAUAAGAAAUCUAUGUUUUGAUGUAAAAAAAUUAAUAAUAAUAUUUUUUUAUACUUUUCAUUAUUUUUAACUAUUUUUCUUAUAAUAAAUAUAUAUUUUAUAUUUCCAAGAUAAAUCAUAAAAUAAACUACCCAUUUAGCCCAUUUUUCCUUUGAAUUUUUUUAUGUUAGGGGAAUGUUUAGAUAUUAUAAAAAUUUUAAAGAACUAUGUGGUAUAUAUUAAUUUGAGCAUGGAAGAAUUUGGCAACUUCCCAAAAAAAUAAUGAAUAACUUUAUAGUGCGUUUACUAAAUGGGAUUAGAAAUCAACUGGAAUCAAAAUGAGCUGGAUUCAAUAUGAGAAAUUGAAAUUAGAAUAAUUUGUUUACUUGAGCUGUAAGAAUCGAAAUUGUAUUGAGCUGUAUUAUCAUCAAUGUUGUUUACUUUAUCUUGGAAUCAGAAUAAAAAUGAAUUAGAUAGUUUCAAAUGACUAAAAUACCCUUAAUCAACUGUUAUCAUAAUUAUUAUUUUGCAUUUUAAUUAUUGUGAUUAUUAUUGUUCAAAAAUAAUAAUAAUGAUAAUUAUUAUUAUUAUUAUUAAUUAUCAUUAAUAACAACAUUAUUAUUAUUAAAAUUAAUAUGUUAACUAAUUGUAAUACAUUUAUCAAUAACAACAACAAUAAUAAUAAAUUUGUAAUUUCUAACAAUCAUUACAAAAUUGUAUUUUAAUUAUUAUGAUUAUUUUUAUUACAAAAUUAUGAUGAUGAUGAUGAUAAAAAGUAUUAUAAUCGAUAUAAUAAUAAUAAUAAUCAUCAUCAUCAUCAUCACUCUUCCAUUUCUCAUUUGCAAAUUGAGGUAGACCCCAUGAUUUUGAUUUUAAUUCCCACCUCUAUUAGACAUAGUAAACGACAUUAAUAAUUUCGAUCCUGAAUUUCGAUUUCCUAAUCUGAUAAGUAUACACAUCAUUAGAGAUGCAGUUGUUUCAAAUAUCAUCCACAUAUCUCUUGAGAAUUAAAAUUCAUUAGAAAUUCAAGAGCAAAAUCUUGGUGAACUCAACAAUAGGUCUAAGAAAAAUCAAAGAGUUGGCUUAAUUAUGACUUAUGAGAGAAGGAUUUUGCUAGCUUACAAACUAUGUAAAAUAUAGCCCCUUAUAUAAUGAGUGAUUGGCCCCGCCAUGGGUGGCUUUAAGUAUAGGCGAACAAAUCGGUCGCCUAAGACCCCAAAUUUUAGAAAGGCUUUAUUUUUUUAGUAUUAGUAAUAAUUCUCUAGUUAGUAAAGAUUUUUUAAAAAAAAAUUAUGUGUGGUAGAAAAGUCUAUUAGACAUCUCUUUAAUUAAUAAUUAUCCUAUAAUUAAUAAUUAUUAUGUUUUAUAUAAAAAAACUAUAAUUAGUUAUCUUAUUGUUAAAGAGAUAUAAUUAAUAAUAUUGUCUAACCAUUAAUUUAUUCAUUAUUAGUUUUUCCAAUAAAAAUAAGUAAAUUUUUUACCUUUUCAACUUCUUAAAAAGAUCAAUUAUUCAACAUUAGAAUUUUUGGCUUUGAGUAUUCCUUUUAAUUUCUAUUAAAAAUCUUAUAAUUUAGAAAAUCAUAGAUGAAAAAUUUCUUGUUCUCUUCUUUACAAUGAAGAUUAUUACAUGAAUUAGUUCAUUCAAAAAAGAAAAAAAAAUAGUUACUUGAAAUACAAAAUCCAUAUCCAUUAUCUAACCACCAAUUUAUGAUCUCAACUUUCUAUGUGCUACUAUUUUAAAUAUUUUAUUUAAAAAUAAUAUUGUUCUCAUUUAUUCGAUUGUUUAUUUUUAUAGAAUUUCUAAUGGUAAAUUUAGAUUUUGUUUUUGAAAAUUUUUAGAAUCUUCUUGAUUAUUUGUUAAAAUUCAAGAACUAAAACAGAAAUAAAUUUUCAGUUUUUUAUUUUAUUUUAUUGAGUAUUGAAGUUGCUAAAUAAAAAGAGGUCUCAUUAAAAAAAAAAAUUCACCUAAGGACAUGAUACUCUAAAGCUGGCCCUGGGCUCCACCUUUAAUUGCUUGUUGGCCCACCUCUAGUUGUUUUAGCUUGGAUGUACCUUACAUAAACUGUAAGGUAGCAAGACCCCGAAAUAUGAUGAGAUAUGUUCUGGUUCUGAAGAGAAGCGUACGUCAUGUAUGACGCAGAUCGAAAUGACAUUGCUUUUUUGCAUUGACGUUGAAUCCAAUUUCAUUAACUGACGUGGGGACUCCAUGCACGUGAUAACCUCAUGGGACACAAUAUUAUUUAACAUUCUUUUCAAGUAACAUCACAGUGAUAAAAUCAAGCUCAGUAACUUCUUCGGAAGAGAAAACAAUGGCUUCAUCUAAGAUCACUUUGAUUUUUCUUACUUGUUUUCUCUUUGAUCUUGUUCUUUUGCCAUCUCUUCAGAUGAUCACUCAAGCGAGUAAACCGAUUGGGAGAGAAAAAAAAAGUAAUAAUAUAAUUACAAAUUCUUGUACAAUUUUUUUUUUAUAAACUAAUGUAUCAUGAUUUAAUUGGUUGGAUUAGAUAUCUCUUAGUCCACAUUAUUUUUUUUAAUUAUUUUAUAUUUUUAUUCAACCAAUGAAUUAAAAUUAAAUCAGUUUGUACAAAAUAAGUUUGAAAAAGAAUUUGUGGCUAUAUCACCACUAAAAAAAAAAGAGAAAAAAGAAAAUGAUGCUUUCAUUUUCUUCAUUUCCACGCAUGCAUGAAAUUAUUUGCAUUUUCGCUUUCUAUAGUAUGUGUGCUGUGCGUAUUAAUUUCUAAAUCUGCAUAAUAAGCAUGCAACGUCAUUUGUUAGCUAAUAUUUAUUAGUUACUGCACGCCCACACACUCAUAAAUGAUACAUUCCUACAACAACAGUAGAUUAGAAGUCAUAACAUUCAACAUAUCUACCUUAAUUCAUGUUACGAGUGAAAAUACAAUCUCACAUCAACUUAUAAUAAAUUAUUAUACUAAAAUAUGCAAGUUAGAGGUUAUUCUCAACUCUAGAAAUUGUAUAUGAGUUAGUUUUUGAAUUUCUAUGGAGUAUAUACUAUACAAUAAGAUAUAAUCCUACAUAGUUCAAAGCAAGCAUAAUGCGACUAUUAAAUUAUUUUUAUUAGUCUCACACGUGCACCCGCGCGCACGGGUGUGUGUGUAUAUAGUGAGGAUUUACUUAAUUAUUGUAUUCUCAUAACUACCAAUUAUAUAUGUAAGUAUGUUUGCUCAAAUAAAAAAUCAGAUCGUGAGAAAAUCUUGAUACUAUAUAUGAAUCCUUUCAUGAUCUGAUCAUAUUUGAACUUUGAAGAAUCUUUUGACACAUAUACGCUUUUAUUUAUGUAUGGUCAUGAUUUACGUAAUUACUAUAUUCUCAAUUAUUAACUACCAAUGAUGAAAGUAUGUUUGCUCUGAUGAAAAAUUAGAUCAUUUAUAUUGUUCUCGUUAUGAAGGAAGUCUAGAAUACAUCAAAACUUCAAAAGUAACGCAACUAAUUAAUAUAUAUAUGAUAUGUGUAAUUGAAUUUAAUAUAAUCACCACUUGUAUGGUGGCUUUUCAAAAUAAAUGCACACAUAUCAGAGCAUCAUUUACUUAUUAUAUGAUUAAAAUGAUAUCUUUAAAAUAUUCUAAAAUUUCUCCAUGUAAUCACUGUGAUUUUUAUGUUUUCACUAAUCCAUUUAUUACUAUUAUAUUCUAUUGCAGAGGAAAAUGUGAAUCUCAACGGCAUCGAGGAGGCAAAGUAUGGGGGCUGCGGAUAUGGGUAACCAAACGGAAAUUAUGGAGUCGCGGUGGAUUUGGAGGGUACCCACCACGAAGAGGAUAUUGCCGGCACGGAUGCUGCCGCACCUACCGCUAUUCAAAUGACUGCUACAGUUGCUGCUCCCAUGCUGCCGACAAGCCCGACGCCGAGUUUGAAGAUGAUGAGAACUAAUUAAUAUCCUCUCCAAUAUUUGCUUCAGUUGUACCUUUGGUUUGUGAGCUUUUGUAUUGAAUGAAUAAGGCCAGUGAUGAGUCUGAACUUUUGUGCUCACGUGAAAUGCCAUGUUUGAAUAGAGCUUAAUUAGUUCAUUAUUAGUUUAUUAGGAGCAACUUCUUCUAGUCUUGUUUCAACCAAUCAAAAGCAAGUACUCCCUGGCUCCAAAUCAAAAGACUAUAGGACAGAGUUCAUACAAGCAUUAAACCCAAAUCCGUUGAGCAGUAAUUAUCCCCUCCCAAAAAUAUAUUUUAUACUUUCACCAUAUAUAAAUCUAGAACAUACAUAUAACUAUGUAUAUAACAAUAUCAUAUUAAUUAACAAAGCUAGUAGAAGUAGAAAUAUUGUAUCAAGAAAAUAUAAAAGUUCUUUUAACCUUGAAAAAUUGAGAAAUUUAUUAAAUAAAGGGUAGAGAUACACCUAAUCAAGGGGCAUAAUGAGCCUUGCCCCUUAAGAUGACUAAGAAACUGAUAUACGAAAGUAAAAAAUUAACAGAGAAAGGACUAUGGAGAUAGCUAUCAAAAACAUUAAUGAAGGAAUCCGUUGGGAUUAUUAAACAACACGUGAUUUAUAUCCCAAGAAAGAUGGUCAAGCCAAGUAAAAUCAGAAAAAUCCACAGUCAAAUUAACUAGACAGUCAACAAUACUAUCAGCUUCCCAAUUAAGUGUGAGAAACCCAAUAAUGUAUUCUUUCAACAAAUGACAGUAGUUCAGCCACAUAUUACUGAUGGUAUAAGGAGGAAGCAAAGAUAUAUUGUUGAACAAGUACAAGUAAUAAAGGAAACAGACAACUCAAUGCAACCAAUGCACAGAUUGAUUAACAAGAUCAUGCGCAAAGAAUGAUGAUCAACAGGAAAUUAAUCAAGAAAUUAACCUAUCUCUAUGUACAAGAAACAUAAAAGAUAUAAAAAACACAAAAGGGUUUAAUUAGUGUUUAAGCCAAGAACUUGGCUUACUUCCACCAAGGAACAAUCAAUACUACUUUAUUAAUGAAUCAGUUGUUUGUUUACGGAGAAUUACGAAGAAGGAAUACAUCUGGAGCCCCUGAUUAUGGUCUCAGCUACUUUAUUUUGUGCUAAGCAUUUGAAAAAAGCCCGCAAUUUCUGCCGCUAUGUAGUUGUUGUAACAGCUUUGUUAAUGUAACCAAACCAGCACUUAAUUUGGAGCCAAAACUAAUAGCAGUUAACGCUCAUUUGACUGGCGUUUGACUAAUCUAAGUCAAGCGUGUGGCCCAUCAUAGUUAAUUACACACAAAACGCAGUCGUUUUCAUAUUCACACAGAUUCCACAAUUUAUUAUUAUACGUACAUUCAUGCGAAGGUUCAUAUAUAUAUAUAUAAACGCAUAACAAACUUAAUUGAAUUUUAUUUAUUAAUAUAGCUGCCGCUAUGAAUCUCGUAAGUCGUGCCUACACUGUUCUUCAAAGAAGCGUAGAAUCGAAAUGAAAUUUGAAGCUGUAUUUUUAAUUCAACCUUUGACUUUAUUGGGCAAUUCCUAUUGAUAUAUUGGAUUAUGUAGAGAACAUGAUGAGCCCACCGAUUUUCAAAAGUAAUUGAAUCGCCACACCAGCAAAUUACACAAAUAUGCAUGCACGCCCACCGACUCGAAUUUUUCUGCGAACCUACUACUUCUCACUUCUCAGGCGAUCGAUUCAAAAACCCAUGGCAAAAUUUUGAAACGACCUUUCAAGUUUGCACCUAUAAAUACAAACAACACCCAACUUAUGUUUCAACAAGAUCAAAAACUUCAGACCCUCUGACUUUACAUAUUACUAUAAAGCAAAAGAAGGCAGCAUAUAUAAGAGCAAAAUGAGUGUGGAAGUGUUAGAUAGUGCCACAAUUGUAAGCUUUGUGGAAGAUGAAGAAGCAUUCAACAACUCGAUACGAAACCGUUUUGCCCAUCUUGAUACAGAUCAUGAUGGUCUCCUUUCUUAUGCAGAAAUGAUGCAGGAGCUCAAGAGUCUGAGGGUCUUUGAGACCCAUUUUGGCAUCGACGAGAAACCAGACCCAGAAGAGCUUGCUAGUGUUUACAACUCUCUGUUUGUCCAAUUCGAUCAUGACUCAAAUGGCACGGUGGAUUUGGAGGAGUUCAAGGCAGAGACCAAGCAAAUGAUGCUUGCCAUGGCCAAUGGUCUCGGUUUCUUGCCUGUACAAAUGGUCCUGGAAGAAGAUAGCUUUCUGAUGAAGGCUGUGGAGAAGGAGUUCACUGCCAAAGCGGCUGCUUAAGCUUAACUAAUUUAUUGCUAGUUCUGACCUGAGUAAUUGUUUUGUUUUGCUUUAUCAGAGACCAAGCAAAUGAUGCUUGCCAUGGCCAAUGGUCUCGGUUUCUUGCCUGUACAAAUGGUCCUUGAAGAAGAUAGCUUUCUGAUGAAGGCUGUGGAGAAGGAGUCCACUGCCAAAGCGGCUGCUUAAGCUUAACUAAUUUAUUGCUAGUUCUGACCUGAGUAAUUGUUUUGUUUUGCUUUAUUUUUAUUUCUUGUUUCAUUUCUUGCAUGUUAUUCCUGAUCGAUAAUUGAUAAAGCGUUGUAUUAAGUUCAAACAAAUAAAAAGUCUCUCUAUUUCAACUUCUUGGAGCAAAAGUAGAUACCAAACUGAUCAACGCACAUGAUUGUAGAUUCCAUAAAAUCUACUUUCAAUUUGGUAUAGGCAGAUUUCAGGAGUAAUCGCCACUAAGGUUUUAGCCUAGUGGUAGAUAUGUGCCCUUUAACUCGAAUUCCUAUAAAGACCAAAAUAUUUCUCUUCUUGUAGAUGUGGGUGGAGUAGAUUUCUCCCUAUAUAUCAACAGAAGAUUAUUAUACCAUUGUACAUAUUUAAAUUUUCAAUAAAUGCAUAAAUUCAUAGACAGUAAAUAGCAAGCAAUUUCCUAAAACAAACAUCAUUUUUAGAGAAAAAAUUAUUAAUUAUCUUUUUUUUUAAUGAACAGAUCGGCUGAAAAAAAUAAUAAUUCCCAUCCCAAAACUCGUUUUCAACUUUUCUCAUAAAUAUAAAUUAAAUGUAAACAUAUGUAGAUAAAUAGAUACAUUAGUGCUGAGUUACCGCUUCUGCUUGACCCAAAACCUUAUUGAGAGAAAUUGAACAUAGGAAAAAGCUGAUUUGUUUGGACAAAACUCGGGUUAAUUCGCCCGCGCAAAGCAGCAUGCUCAUAAACAUAUGUAGAAUAAUAGUCACGUACAUAAUAAAACAAGCCAAAGAUUGAAGAUGAGCUUCAAACCAUAGACUCUUCUACUUUCUGUCGUUCGGUGAAUUCAAACACAGAAACUUGAGGUAAAUAUGUUCUGAUGGACAAGGAUUCUUCCAUAUUUUAAUGAGUGGGUAAGAUUGAAUUUUGAAUUCUAAUACUGACAAUCAAGUUAGUUUUUUUUUUCAAAUUAAGUUAACUUUUUUCACUAGAUUUAAAGAAUCAGGAGAGGCUGGGAGGGAGGCCGAAAAAAAAAACUAGGAGAAAAUCCUAAUUCUUAAAAUAAAACUAGGAGAGAUUUAAAAUAGCAGUUUAUAAAAAAACAACUCCUUAUUUUCUUUUAAAAUUUUUUAUCAAAAUAGAAAAAUUUAUAAAAUAAAUAAUUUAAAAAAAAUUAUUUAAUACUGUUUUUAUCAAAACUUAUAAAAUAAGUUGUUUAUAUUAUUUCAACGUCCAUCAUAAAUCAGCGUAAAUAAUAAUAUUCAAAUUUCGUGUAACACUUACGACAUUUCUUGUUAAUAUACCAUACGAUGCGAAGGAUUAUGUAUAAAUUAAAAAAGAAAAAUUACAGAUACACAAUGCUCGAGGUGGUGGCCACUGGCCCACUGAGAAUGAUCUGUGGGUCUCAAACCUCCAUUGUUUUUUUAGAGGCGCGUAGAAUCGUGGUGAAAUUUCUUUUGAUUUGGACUUUUCAGACGUUGCAACUGUAAGCCCAUGGAAUUUCUAAGGUUCAAAGGCGCCAGACAUACAUUCACAUUAAUUCAUGCCAGCCCACCGACUCGUCUUCUAUGAGGUGUCAUUUAUUUAUUAGGCGUAAACCUUCAAUAUACUUUCGAAUAAUAAUUAAUUCAAGAAGCUCCUGUGGGAGUAAGAAACAACAGGCUCAAAAGGGAAAGUCUGAAAGUAAAACCGUCCUUUAAGCGUAACUAAUUAACUAUAAAUAACAACGCAACCCAACUUAUGUUUCAACAAGUGAAGUUCUCUUCUGCUUUGACUUGUAAAAUCACAAAAUAUACUCUAUUAAUUGUAGCUUUUACUUUUUCACAGUCGAGAAAGAGCGAUAUGAGUGUUGAAGUGUUAGAUGGCGCAACAAUCGUCAGCUUUGUGGAAGAUGAAUAUGCAUUCAACAUCUUGAUACGUGAACGCUUUGCCCAUCUUGAUACAGACAACGAUGGUCUCCUUUCUCAUUCAGAAAUGAUGAAGGAGCUGAAGUGUUUGAGGGUCUUUGAGACGCACUUUGGCAUAGAUGAGAAACCAGACCCAGACGAGCUUGCGAGAGUUUACAGCUCUUUGUUUGUCCAAUUCGAUCAUGACUCGAAUGGGACGGUAGAUUUGGAGGAGUUCAAGGCAGAGACCAAGCAAAUGAUGCUUGCCGUGGCCAAUGGUCUCGGUUUCUUGCCUGUGCAAAUGGUUCUGGAAGAGGAUAGCAUCCUGAAGAAGGUUGUGGAGAAGGAAUCAACUGCCAAAGUGGUAGUUUAAAUUGCUUGUUCUGACUUCUGACUGAAUUAAUUGUUUGUUUUGUUUUCGUUUUUCACUUUUCUGCUGUACGGCCAAGGCGGAUGUACGGUACAGCAGCUCUUGAGAAUUAAAAUUCAUUAGAAAUUCAAGAGCAAAAUCUUUGUGAACUCAAUAAUAGGUCUAAGAAAAAUCAAAGAGUUGGCUUAAUUAUGACUUAUGAGAGAAGGAUUUUGCUAGCUUACAAACUAUGUAAAAUAUAGCCCCUUAUAUAAUGAGUGAUUGGCCCCGCCAUGGGUGGCUUUAAGUAUAGUGAUCGAUAAUUGAUAAAGCGUUGUAUUAAGUUCAAACAAAUAAAAAGUCUCUCUAUUUCAACUUCUUGGAGCAAAAGUAGAUACCAAACUGAUCAACGCACAUGAUUGUAGAUUCCAUAAAAUCUACUUUCAAUUUGGUAUAGGCAGAUUUCAGGAGUAAUCGCCACUAAGGUUUUAGCCUAGUGGUAGAUAUGUGCCCUUUAACUCGAAUUCCUAUAAAGACCAAAAUAUUUCUCUUCUUGUAGAUGUGGGUGGAGUAGAUUUCUCCCUAUAUAUCAACAGAAGAUUAUUAUACCAUUGUACAUAUUUAAAUUUUCAAUAAAUGCAUAAAUUCAUAGACAGUAAAUAGCAAGCAAUUUCCUAAAACAAACAUCAUUUUUAGAGAAAAAAUUAUUAAUUAUCUUUUUUUUUAAUGAACAGAUCGGCUGAAAAAAAUAAUAAUUCCCAUCCCAAAACUCGUUUUCAACUUUUCUCAUAAAUAUAAAUUAAAUGUAAACAUAUGUAGAUAAAUAGAUACAUUAGUGCUGAGUUACCGCUUCUGCUUGACCCAAAACCUUAUUGAGAGAAAUUGAACAUAGGAAAAAGCUGAUUUGUUUGGACAAAACUCGGGUUAAUUCGCCCGCGCAAAGCAGCAUGCUCAUAAACAUAUGUAGAAUAAUAGUCACGUACAUAAUAAAACAAGCCAAAGAUUGAAGAUGAGCUUCAAACCAUAGACUCUUCUACUUUCUGUCGUUCGGUGAAUUCAAACACAGAAACUUGAGGUAAAUAUGUUCUGAUGGACAAGGAUUCUUCCAUAUUUUAAUGAGUGGGUAAGAUUGAAUUUUGAAUUCUAAUACUGACAAUCAAGUUAGUUUUUUUUUUCAAAUUAAGUUAACUUUUUUCACUAGAUUUAAAGAAUCAGGAGAGGCUGGGAGGGAGGCCGAAAAAAAAAACUAGGAGAAAAUCCUAAUUCUUAAAAUAAAACUAGGAGAGAUUUAAAAUAGCAGUUUAUAAAAAAACAACUCCUUAUUUUCUUUUAAAAUUUUUUAUCAAAAUAGAAAAAUUUAUAAAAUAAAUAAUUUAAAAAAAAUUAUUUAAUACUGUUUUUAUCAAAACUUAUAAAAUAAGUUGUUUAUAUUAUUUCAACGUCCAUCAUAAAUCAGCGUAAAUAAUAAUAUUCAAAUUUCGUGUAACACUUACGACAUUUCUUGUUAAUAUACCAUACGAUGCGAAGGAUUAUGUAUAAAUUAAAAAAGAAAAAUUACAGAUACACAAUGCUCGAGGUGGUGGCCACUGGCCCACUGAGAAUGAUCUGUGGGUCUCAAACCUCCAUUGUUUUUUUAGAGGCGCGUAGAAUCGUGGUGAAAUUUCUUUUGAUUUGGACUUUUCAGACGUUGCAACUGUAAGCCCAUGGAAUUUCUAAGGUUCAAAGGCGCCAGACAUACAUUCACAUUAAUUCAUGCCAGCCCACCGACUCGUCUUCUAUGAGGUGUCAUUUAUUUAUUAGGCGUAAACCUUCAAUAUACUUUCGAAUAAUAAUUAAUUCAAGAAGCUCCUGUGGGAGUAAGAAACAACAGGCUCAAAAGGGAAAGUCUGAAAGUAAAACCGUCCUUUAAGCGUAACUAAUUAACUAUAAAUAACAACGCAACCCAACUUAUGUUUCAACAAGUGAAGUUCUCUUCUGCUUUGACUUGUAAAAUCACAAAAUAUACUCUAUUAAUUGUAGCUUUUACUUUUUCACAGUCGAGAAAGAGCGAUAUGAGUGUUGAAGUGUUAGAUGGCGCAACAAUCGUCAGCUUUGUGGAAGAUGAAUAUGCAUUCAACAUCUUGAUACGUGAACGCUUUGCCCAUCUUGAUACAGACAACGAUGGUCUCCUUUCUCAUUCAGAAAUGAUGAAGGAGCUGAAGUGUUUGAGGGUCUUUGAGACGCACUUUGGCAUAGAUGAGAAACCAGACCCAGACGAGCUUGCGAGAGUUUACAGCUCUUUGUUUGUCCAAUUCGAUCAUGACUCGAAUGGGACGGUAGAUUUGGAGGAGUUCAAGGCAGAGACCAAGCAAAUGAUGCUUGCCGUGGCCAAUGGUCUCGGUUUCUUGCCUGUGCAAAUGGUUCUGGAAGAGGAUAGCAUCCUGAAGAAGGUUGUGGAGAAGGAAUCAACUGCCAAAGUGGUAGUUUAAAUUGCUUGUUCUGACUUCUGACUGAAUUAAUUGUUUGUUUUGUUUUCGUUUUUCACUUUUUUCUACUCCUUUAUAUUUCUUGUAUGUGAUUCCUGAGCUACAGAUAUUGUACCAAGUUUAAAUUUAAAAAAAAGGUCACUCUAUUUUCUAAGGUUUACUGGAAAGAGAAUCAAUCAGAGACGGUCAAAUCCAAGGGCCUAACACCUAAUUCCAAAUUAUCAACAUGAGCCACACAAAAAUGCCGAAUUUCAUUGAUAAAAUAUUUAUAAUUCACCACAGUAUCAUUCUUUCAUAACAGCUCACAAGAACAAAGACAUUUCAGGAGCUGGAAUGAAGGAGAGAAUGCCUUCACCAAACAACUCAAACAGUGAAACCAGAAGCUUACCAGAAUUUAAGUCAUCCUUCCAAACUUGAGGAAGGAUUGCUGACAACUUCUGAGCUUGACUAUCACCCUUGUCUCUUUUACUUCUGCUCUCUGACCCACUAUCAGGAGGAAUCUGCACAGAAGAUGGUGAGGGGUGAUCCGCAUCAGAAUUAUCCAAAGGAGUUGCAGCUGUUGCAUCCUCUUCCAUGGGAGUGGGCAUGGAGCUGGUUGACACAGCAUCGACCGGUCCAUCGGUUGCAAUUUUCUUGAGGGGUGGCUGCUCUUCUAAAUCCAUGCUUGUCUUCCGCUUAUCUUGAAUAUGUACAAGGCGAAGCAGGUAUCACUCAUUUAUUUUAUUCAGCCAAAAAGAAAAUAUUCAUAGAGCUUUGUUAUAGAAGAAUUAGGUUCUGUCUGACUUACUUGACAAAGUAGCAACUAUUCCAUUGGUCUUCCAGACAGAACGUGCAGGCAGAGAUGACAAAGGAGGGAAUAUCUUGAGUCGAUCAUAUAUGCAUUGACCAGCUGCUUGCUGGAAAAUGCAGUCCAGUUAUACUCAUUAGAAAUCCUUGUUAAGAAUUAAUCCUACUGGAUGUUUGAUGCAAUCAUUAUAUAUGUCAGGGGAGGGGGGAGAAAAAAAUAAGGAAGUCUCACCAGCAGGGCCCCAUAAACUCGCCAAGCCUCAUGCCUCUUCACCUCAUUCUUUUGCUUCUCAAGAAGCAUCUCCGGUUCAAGAAGACUUAGAUAAGGACCAAGAUUUGGCAGUAGGAGGAGGCGAACCUACUUGCAAAGUGAAGCAUCAUAAACAGCUAAAUGUUAAAAGAUUCUUAAUAAAAAAGGAUACGAGCUCAAACAGGGCAUAAAACAAAGAUAUGAUCAUCUGCAGGGAGAAACUCAAAUCAUGGAGUGUUUUGUUAAAAAAUUUUUACUGAUGGUAUUGGUUAGUUUAUAUGGCAAGCAAAACUGAUCAUAGCUAAAAGAUAAAUUCUCUCUUUUCUCCAUUUGAGAGAAUCACAAUCAAGAAAUUCAAGUUUAGUACAACAGGCGGAGUAGGAAGAAAGUAUCUGUACGAAGUGAAGAGAGACAAUUGACAGUGAGCAUUUGCUAUCACAUCUUUCAGAAUAUAUGAUAAAGAGUAUUUAUUGAUCCUAGACUUCAAAAAUGUAAUCAUGUCUCAUCAAAAUCUUAUAUCUUCAACUUGCUAGCUUUAUAUAUAAGAGGAAAGAUACAUGAUACAAAAUAAUUAAAGGUACAUCCAUGCAACGACUUGGAAAGAAAUUUGGUGCGUGCACACACAGAAACAUAAUAUCAAUUCAGUUAAUUCUUUUCGGGUUACAACAUCUCCAAAUCAGAGAGGAGCAUAGUGAGGCUUUCCGCCCUCCUUCAGUUAUUCUCCUCUCAAUACAAUUAUUAGUUCUCUCUUCUCCAUUACUUCCUCGAAACCCAAUAUUGACAGGGUUAGAUUGGAUUCACAUGAAACUUUCCAAAUGUAUGAAAAGCAAACUCAUUUGCAUUCAAACAUAAUAACAUUUUUAUUUAAUCAUCUAUAGCAUGAGAGAAGAGAAUACCACAUUCGGCCCCAGCGCUGCUAACCCUUGGACUGCCCCAUAAUGCUGAGUCAAUGCUCGUUUUGGGUCCAAAAGUGCGUUAAGAAGAGUUUUGGUUAGACGUGUCUGAAGAGUGUUAUAAACAUGCCCAUAUCUGCAUACGCCAAAUGUGAGAGAUCAAUUAAUUAUAACAUAUCUGUUAGAAAUGGAUGACUAAGUUAAACAGAUCUGUCUGAAUAUAUAGAACACCAUUUUUUAAACUGAAAUAGUUGAGGUCAGAAGGGAGGAUGAGAAGGGAACCCAAUUUAGGCCCAAGUACAGCUCUAGACGGUCAAGAUGGCACCUCCAGAAUCAUAUUCUAAAUAUGUACAACAUAAAUCUAAGUAAAGAAGUCUUACCGUUUACAUAUUGCAGCAACAAGUUUUGCAGUAAAGUCUCUAAGUUCCCAGUGGUUAUCUGCAAGUCUAUUCCCCAACCUUUUGGCUACAAGGCAGGUAACCACAGAUGGCAUCAAUUGGUGAAGCUGACAAGAAAAGAAUGCCUUCUCAGAUUCAUGAAUAGGAGAUCCUUCAAACAAACUGCAGGGUAUAUCAAUGUAUUGAACAAUUACUCAUAAAGAAAAGGCCCUCUAAGAUUGUACAGCCACAAGCAACAAAAGCUACAAACGUCCGAGGAAAUUAAGUUGAUCAGGACGAGACCAAAAUGUAAAAAUAAAAAGAAGUGGGAAGCGGGAAGUGGCAGCAAGAAAAUGGAUAUAAUGGAAAAAAAAAAGGAUUCAUCUAGCAGACAGAAAACUCAGUAUGCAUGGGUUGUGAGUUAAGCCGAGUCCAAUUAAGACCAUUGUAACAUGGUUUUACACAACAUGAUUUAUCAAUAAACCACAUGAAGAUAUAUGCUCUCAACAUUUGCAGCUCAAAUAACAAUUCAGUGACCGAAUGCCGCUGGUACUUUUCAGUAUCAAUCAAAUUAGAUAAAAUAUCAGAAUGAUAGUACAUUCACCUUUUUCUCCUUAGAAGAAUUUUUCCACAAUAUCUUUUUCUAUUAAACAUUAAUGACCAAAUUUUUUCCAGGUUUUUGUUAAUAUUACAGGCUCCAAAUUUCUCUCACAUAAACUUAUAUGUUCCAGUUACUCUUAAGCACCAACAAGUAAUUAAACAAAAAUUUUCAAACAAUCAGAAUAUAGGUCAAACGGUUGGCAGUUAACAUUGUCCAAGAAGAAUGGUAGAAAUGCAUGUGAUUUCCUUAAAAGAGCCCGCUGAACAGAGCUUCAUCCACAUUGAAGUUGAAGAAUAGGCUUAGCUUAUUGAAGUUCUAUAUGAAACUGUAUAAAUUAAAGGUUAACUUACAUAAGGUUCUAUUUGUAUGUGAGGAUUCUGGAGAAGAUUCCAAACAACACGCAUCAAAGCAAACAAAAGGGAAUAAUUAUUCAGACCACGAGAAACCUGAUAUCAUUGGAGAAGGAUCAGUUAGAAUGAGAAUUGUCGAAUAUUUCCCUUAACUGUUCAUGCUAACAAAGUAUGCUUAUAAUUCCUCACCUCAUCAGCUACAAAGUAUGUGAAAUAAGGAACCAAUGGAUGGAGUCCUGAGUCUGUGGCCAAGCUCACUAACGCUUGUUUGAAAAGGACUGAAUCGGACCUACUCACAGCAAGCUCAGUGAUUUUAUCGAAGUACAGCUGCAAAGGUGACAGAAAAGGAAAAGUAAAAUAAGUUGCAGAAAAGAAAAACAGAAUAAUAAAAUAAGCACUGAUAGAUUUUUACAAACCUGAAGUUCCCUAGACAAUAUAUGCUUUACUGGUAAUUUAAUCUCAACAGGAAGCCCAUCUUUCUGUUCAUUGUUUGUGCCAUUAGAAGGAGCAGCAAUUGCUGAGAAAAGUGAAAACCAAUUUAAAAUUAGGUGCCAAAUUUUGGCAAAUAAAGAUAGCUAAAUACCAACUAAUACCCACUGUUAUCUUGGUCUUGAGAUUAUCAUAAACAUGAAAUACUAAAAAAACCAAUGUUUUAAGAAGAACUGUCUCAAUUUGUAAUUUUACCACGUACACUUAACCCCAAAAAAGAAAAGCUUUACCUAAUCUACCACAGACUACAUUGCAUUCAAGACCACCUGUAUAGCUAUUCUGCCACAAAAAGUUGUAACCUGCAAGAUAUCCCAUUUUUAAACCUAAAACAAAGCAAAAGAUCACUCAAACUGGCACUGCCUUGGUACUCCUCCCCAUACCAGUAUGCAUGUGCAAGAAACCCAGGUUUACAUACUAACACACCAGAUACUAGGAAGUCUUAGAAAAUAGGUCAUCGUACUGUAUGCUAACUAUUCAAAUUUUAUGCCUGAUAUAUUACAAAACUUGAUGAAAUGCCCACAUAUAGAGUCCAACCUUGCACCGGAGCGUUUUCUGGGAUUACAGGUUGUACUCCUUCAAUAGCAAGCCAGUGACAGACAAUUGAUGUAUCAAGUGGUGCUCGAGGUAAAGGAGCUUCAAUCACCUACAAGUGAAAAACAAUCCCAUAAAAUUAAUAAUAGCUUCUACCCAUUUCAGUAUAAAAGCCAACAAAUAACCAUAAAUCUCCUUACAUCUUUAAAUUCCACAUCCUUGUCAUCAAGGUAAAACAAAUCCCUAUACCCAAUAGCUCUUCUGAACCGCAAAGGACCCCCUGAGGCAAAACCAUACACCGGCUGAUACCAGACGAUUAAACAGGUUAAACAUUAAAGAUUUGAACAAGCACCAAAAUUGAUACCAUUAAAGAAUUUGAAACUCACCUCCACGUUUCUUAAUUUAAGAGCUUCAUCAACAUCAUCAGUUGUCAAUGUGGUUCUCCUUGAAUGCCGCAUGCAUUUAAUUGCCUCCUAUAGUCCAGAUUAAGGAAAUUACAUUAAUUCCGCAAAAUAAUUAUCAAAUUUGCUCAAUCAACUUGUCUAUUUCUUCAACUAACGAAAUAUCUUUACCCUAACAGAACAUAACUGCUUAAUGUAUUCCAUUUAAUCAAUAAUAAUAAUACUACUAAAAAUAACAAUAAUAAUCUCAGGUUUAAUAAAUAAAAAAAUAAUUCAAAAAUUAAAAAUUAAUUUUUACCUGCAUGAUUUCGCGUAUACGAUAUUCGACGUCAGGAGCAAGGGCAAGCGCUGCAUCGGUAGAAAAAUUACUAAUACCAAUGCUUUGCGCUAUAACCUCUACUGUUUCCUUUGGUACGAUACUCAUUUUCUCUUCUUCUAGCUUUUAGUAGUUUUUCAUUUUCUACUUGCAACUCUGCAACUGAGGUGCGCACGUAUGUUUUUAAGAAUUAAGUUUUUAGACUGUAACUAAUGAACACGGAUCUGCUGCAGGUUCAGGAUCCGAAUGGUACUUAUAUACAAGGGACAAAGAGUGGUCGGUUUUCCGGGUUCUAAUUUUUAACCUGGCCCAACCUUGGCGUUGAAUUGUGGGCUAUAGUUUUUGCUCCACCCUAAGUAUUUGCUAAGUACACCCGUCCACUAAAUCCCUAUUCACCUCUCUGCUAAAAAGUUGGUGCUUAAAAAAACGGUUCGAUUUGAAAAAUUAACAAAAAAUUGAUCCGUUCAUAUAAAAAAUCAAAAAUAAAAAGUCAUAAAAUAUAAAGAAUUUAAUAGUUUAAAAUUAAAAAAAAAAAAACAAGACCGAACCAAUUCGAUUUGGUUUAUAUAAUAUUAGACAAAAGUCAGUCGGUUUAAUUUGAUUCAAAACCGAAUCAAUCUAUGUCUCAACCCUAUUCAUAAUUUAAAUUUUUAUUCCCAACAUCUGAAACAUGAAUGAUUGUCAUCGGAUCACUAAUUUGGAUUACUUUUAACUUUUUUUUCUCUUUAAUAUAUUUGGAUAGAGAUAAGAAAUCUCACCUACUAAACACCAAUCUUGAUUCUCUAUUAUAGGAAACCGUAAAGAGAAAAUAUAAUUUAUGACUAGUGGAAUUACACAUAAAGUAGUUCUCUUUAAUUAAGAUGUUAUUCUCAAUGAAAUAGAAGACAAUCAGAUUUUUUUUAAAAAAUCAAAUUACUCGUAACCAAUAAGUAGAAGCAAACUCCUAUUAGUGUAUGUAUUGAACAUUAUGUAGAAAACCAAACCUAAAAUCUGUGGAUGCUCACUUAUUGCUCAGAGUGGGGGAAGGAGGGGAGAAAUUGAGCAUGAAAGUUUGUGAUGAUUAUAAUUUCCAGCUACAGGUGGAGGCAUUAUAUUAUAUGAUUGGCCUUCGCUAAAACAAAUCAAUUAGGCUCAAUUAUUUUUCACAUGGAAUAGGCCGCCAGUCUGACCAUUUGCAGUUCUAUGGACCACACUGUCCACACAUCUGAGUCCUUACAACAUUACCAAUGAUUUCUAAUUUUCAUGCCAAUCCUUUUAUUUUGAUCUUAUCCCCAGCUACUAGAAGCCCACGUCCCUAUACUAAGUACUAAACAGUUAAAUUUAAUACUAUUAGAACAGCUCUCUCAUGUGUAAACUUUUAUUUGAUAACUAAUUGCUUUGGAUAUUAGUCGUUGUCCAUGUGGGUAUAUUGAGUCCAGAACAUUGCUGUUCUUGGUAAUGAAAGUUCAGUUGUCUUUAGGUGCAAACAUGGCAAGUCAUGAUCACUUAUGCUGCUCUCAAAAGCACUUCUGGAAGUUGCUUUAAACCACACAAGAUUCCAAAGCCUGCGUUUUCAUUUUACCAGUUACCACAGCAAUACAUUAGACGGUUUUGGUAUCUAGUGAAUGAUAUAGAGAAGCAAGUGAUUGUCAUGUUUGAAUUAAACAAACAGCUGCUAAAAGUAAUCGUCGUGUUUUUCAUGUUUAAGAUAAUGGAAUAGAAGCAAGAAAUUUAAGGAGAAGCACUUUAAGAGCAGGAAGCAGAAAGGAAUAGACAUAGCCCCAAUAGCAAGCAAACUUUGCGAGCCCAAUGUGCUGCAACCCAUGUGCGUAAAGUGAAGUUUUUAAGCUUCCAUCUAAUCUCUUUUUUUUUCUUUUGUAACUUUUUCAGUUUCUAUUAUUUUGGAAUUAAAGCUCACAAGUCCAGCUCUAAAGCUCUGACAAAACCUGCAAACAUUCAGACAUAAUAAUAGCUAACAUAUAGGUUAUCAAAAUACUAACAGAAUUAGUUGUUCACCGACCGUUAUAAAUAAUAGUUCAGUGAGGCUUAAUAGUCUCCUGAAAACAACCGAGUAAAGAAUGCCACUUGCGGGUUUCAACUUUUCUACGACAUAAACAAUAAUUCCGGGAAUCUUUUAGUACCUCACUGCCUCUGGUGGUUUCUUAAAUAAUUGAAAACAUCUCAUUAUAAUAUUAGACAAAAGUCAGUCGGUUUAAUUUGAUUCAAAACCGAAUCAAUCUAUGUCUCAACCCUAUUCAUAAUUUAAAUUUUUAUUCCCAACAUCUGAAACAUGAAUGAUUGUCAUCGGAUCACUAAUUUGGAUUACUUUUAACUUUUUUUUCUCUUUAAUAUAUUUGGAUAGAGAUAAGAAAUCUCACCUACUAAACACCAAUCUUGAUUCUCUAUUAUAGGAAACCGUAAAGAGAAAAUAUAAUUUAUGACUAGUGGAAUUACACAUAAAGUAGUUCUCUUUAAUUAAGAUGUUAUUCUCAAUGAAAUAGAAGACAAUCAGAUUUUUUUUAAAAAAUCAAAUUACUCGUAACCAAUAAGUAGAAGCAAACUCCUAUUAGUGUAUGUAUUGAACAUUAUGUAGAAAACCAAACCUAAAAUCUGUGGAUGCUCACUUAUUGCUCAGAGUGGGGGAAGGAGGGGAGAAAUUGAGCAUGAAAGUUUGUGAUGAUUAUAAUUUCCAGCUACAGGUGGAGGCAUUAUAUUAUAUGAUUGGCCUUCGCUAAAACAAAUCAAUUAGGCUCAAUUAUUUUUCACAUGGAAUAGGCCGCCAGUCUGACCAUUUGCAGUUCUAUGGACCACACUGUCCACACAUCUGAGUCCUUACAACAUUACCAAUGAUUUCUAAUUUUCAUGCCAAUCCUUUUAUUUUGAUCUUAUCCCCAGCUACUAGAAGCCCACGUCCCUAUACUAAGUACUAAACAGUUAAAUUUAAUACUAUUAGAACAGCUCUCUCAUGUGUAAACUUUUAUUUGAUAACUAAUUGCUUUGGAUAUUAGUCGUUGUCCAUGUGGGUAUAUUGAGUCCAGAACAUUGCUGUUCUUGGUAAUGAAAGUUCAGUUGUCUUUAGGUGCAAACAUGGCAAGUCAUGAUCACUUAUGCUGCUCUCAAAAGCACUUCUGGAAGUUGCUUUAAACCACACAAGAUUCCAAAGCCUGCGUUUUCAUUUUACCAGUUACCACAGCAAUACAUUAGACGGUUUUGGUAUCUAGUGAAUGAUAUAGAGAAGCAAGUGAUUGUCAUGUUUGAAUUAAACAAACAGCUGCUAAAAGUAAUCGUCGUGUUUUUCAUGUUUAAGAUAAUGGAAUAGAAGCAAGAAAUUUAAGGAGAAGCACUUUAAGAGCAGGAAGCAGAAAGGAAUAGACAUAGCCCCAAUAGCAAGCAAACUUUGCGAGCCCAAUGUGCUGCAACCCAUGUGCGUAAAGUGAAGUUUUUAAGCUUCCAUCUAAUCUCUUUUUUUUUCUUUUGUAACUUUUUCAGUUUCUAUUAUUUUGGAAUUAAAGCUCACAAGUCCAGCUCUAAAGCUCUGACAAAACCUGCAAACAUUCAGACAUAAUAAUAGCUAACAUAUAGGUUAUCAAAAUACUAACAGAAUUAGUUGUUCACCGACCGUUAUAAAUAAUAGUUCAGUGAGGCUUAAUAGUCUCCUGAAAACAACCGAGUAAAGAAUGCCACUUGCGGGUUUCAACUUUUCUACGACAUAAACAAUAAUUCCGGGAAUCUUUUAGUACCUCACUGCCUCUGGUGGUUUCUUAAAUAAUUGAAAACAUCUCAUACGAGAUUUCUGCAUUGGCGUUGAUUGUUUACUCCCCGAGAUGGGUAUUACUGGAGAGUUUGUUAGGAGUGUCUUCUCUAGAAGCCGGUCUGUCAGCACUCAAGGGACCAGCGUAAGUCUCCAUAACAUAACUUUUGUAAUCUUGAAUCUAUUAUGACCAAUUUCUUUUAUCUAAUUGAUGUAGCGGGCAAGUAGUGUGGUGGAAAAGAGAAAAUGGAGGCCAGUAAGAUUAUACGCGUGUGGUGAAGAAUUCAAUUCAGUUCUUGCAGAGGAAGAUUCUGCUUCGGUUAAGAGCUCUGAGGCUACCGUCACACAGCCUAUAGUAGAAGACUUAACAGACAAGGGAGAUAUUCAGAGUGUGGAGACAAAGGAAAAGCGUAAUUCAAUGUCCAAAUUAUUCCAUGAAGAAGAUGCCGCGAUCAUUAUUCAGUCAGCAUUUAGACGCUUUCUGGUUAAGCUCUAUUUACAUAUUUGUAUACACAAUAGAAUAAGUAGUUCCUACAAUUAUGGAACUGUGACUCUUUAUAGUCAUUAUGGUACUUGAUUUUCAGGCUACACGUCGGAAUGAAGAAGACAAAGCAAAUGAUAGUAAGCAGGAGCCUGUUUCAGGGAGGGGGAGUCCAAGUAGGGAGUCUAUGGGCACAUCAAUUGAAGUGCAAACCGGAAAUUCUGUAGAAGGAUCCUCAUUUGGAGAAGAAAGCACUGCUGUGACUCGCCAUGUGCAUCAAAAAGCCAGAACUCAGAUUUUCAGGGUAAAGGUAAAGCAAAGAAGAAUGUUAACAAAAUAGUUAUAUGGGGUGACAUAUGUUGGCUGAACUAAGGAAUCUCACCUGACUUUGAUUUGUUUUUUUGAGAUGAUAUUAACAGGAAGACUGGGAUGAUAGCACAGUCAGUAGCAAUGUAUCAAAAAUGAGGAUUCAGAACAGACUGGAAGCUUCGACCAGGCGAGAGAGAGCUCUAGCAUAUGCCUUUUCACAGCAGGUAUAGCUUGAGUACUUGGUCUGAAUGUAAACAAAGAAUUAAAAAGCCAAAUGCCAACCUAACUUUAGUUCCAUCCACUUGAUUUAAAGCUGAGAAUCUGUUCAAAGAAGAAAGAAAGAAAAUCUGAUGGCGCAGAACUCAACAUGGGAUGGAGCUGGCUAGAACGGUGGAUGGCAACCCGGGUUCCUGAGAGAUCCUCUGUUGAAAGUCAUACAAGCAAUCAACUUGAGCCAUUUAGAGCCAACGAUCAAAGACUCAUGGUGAGAAAAGGUUUUUUCGAUGUAGCAGGGGAAGAAAAGGAAAGCUGUGGAUCCAAUGAGGUAUCUGUACAACUUGACAGCUUUUCAGUAACUACAGCAGCAGAGACGGAUGACUUCAAGCCUACCAAGAAUAGGCUGAAAAAGACAAGAACAGUGUCAAGGCGGAAAACUGUGCCCAGCUACCAGUGCCCAAAAGAGGGUAGCAAGGUAGAACUUCCUCACAAUAAUUAUUAGAAUACCUGUCUAAAGAGAGAAUAUUUUACUAAAAUUUAGCAAUGAAUAUGGUUAAUGCAAAUUUGGGACUUGAGAACCUUCAAUUUGCUACAGGUAAGCAGGAAAAAUAGCUCAAAGGAGAGUGAAAUUGAUAAGAAGAUGCAAAAGCAAAUAGGGAACAAGAAAGAAAUAAAGUGCAGCGAUACAACUGGUUAAGAAUCACAUGAUCGCCGGAGCAGCAACAGAUCCAUAUCCCCUUUUCAUCUAUAAAGAUAAUGUCGGCUUCAUGCUAGUACUUUUAAUGUAAAUCAUCGUUGCAUGGCUUCUAGGCAUAUCAAAUUGCCUUUUCUAUGCUAUGUUUAUCUUAAUAAUUAACUUGUUAGCCACAUCCCAGCCAUCAAACAAAGCAAGAAUCUUGCUCCAGAAACACAUACUACAAAAGUAAGAAAAGAAAUCCAGUCAGGUGAAGAAGAGGAACCUAUGUUCAAGAAACCUUGAAUGGGAUGAAAAGUGGAAACUUAAAACUCUGAUAAAACUAAGAAUGCUGUAAUCACAGAGCAUAGCCACAAAACACAACAGCAUUACAGUCACUAUGAAAAAAUGACAUCCUGAUUAAAUUAACAUAACACGUACCGUCAAACAAAAUACCAAGCAUAUACAAUGCCAAGCAUCAAUACCUUUUAUGAUGCAAUUCUGCGUGGAUAGGAAAAUUCAUAGCAAUCGGCAAAUCAAUACACAAGUUUUAACACAAACUACGAUAAAAAGAUUCCGGCACUUUACCGUCUUCCUAAUUGCCACAACAAAUUAUUAUUGACAUUAAAGAUCUGCACCAUACCAGUAUAAGAUUCCAUUCUAGAAAUACCACUUCAAAAAAAGUGCAGAACUAAACAAAAUUAAUAAGCAAGUAAUAGGCGUUACACAAAAUAUGACAGGCUCACCAUUAAAAAUUCCAAAUAUAUAAGCUGCAAACACAUAUUUUCAGCUUUUAAGUAACCAAUACAUUGGCAUACUCCAUUUUUGCUAAAUAUUGAACAUAAACCCCAGACAGAGUCGAUUCUCGGAGCCUAGAUCUUAUCAAUAUCUUCGUCUUCAAACUCGAUGUAAUCAUUAUCAGCGCCAUCAUCCUCUUCAUCAAGACCACCAGCAAUGCCCUCAUUGAGACGGGUACUCUCUGGAAGUUCACCAUAAGCCUUCAGAAGCCUUGCCUCGUCGGGCAUAUACUUGAGGAUGACAUCAGCCUUGUCAUCCUGAUAAUCACGUAGGCCAACAAGUAUUAUAUCACCAGCUGCAAUCCAAACCUUUUUGUGCAUCUUCCCACGGAUGUGGCAAAGACGCUUGGUUCCAUCGAUGCACAUAGCUUCACACCGACCAUUGCCGAGCAUACGAAGGACUUGGGCAUAUUCCUGUCCGUCUUCCUUGAAGACAAGCUCACGCUUCUCGUCGUCAGCUUCAUUCUUUCCCCUCUUCCUGUUCUUUCCUCCCUUUCCCUUAUUCUUCGGCAUGGUUUCUAAUUCUACUACCAAUAUAAAUAUUGGUUAUUUAAGAUUUAAAUAAAAAGAAAAAAGAAAUCUAACGCAGCCUAUACAUUCAAAAUUUACAAAGCAGCACCGCUAUAGUUUAAAUUAAAUUUUGGAUUAAUUCUGAAGAGUACCACAUACAACCCAGAUGCAAACUUUGCUCAAUGACUAGGGUUUCAUCAGAAAUAGCAAACAAACAAGAUAUACUUUUUCGAUCUUCAAGUUAAAUAAGAUUAAUGAUUAAAUUGGAAAGCAUGAUUAAUCAGAAAAUUAACAAAACGUAAUUCUAAUAACUGAUUAGGCAGCUCAAUCGCAACUGAUCAAUUUAAUAAAAUUGGAAAACAAGGAUUUUCAGCUCUAGUUAAAAAGAACAGUUAAACCUAAACGGAUCGUAGAACAAAGCGAUACAGAUAAUGAUCCUAAAACAAACUGAUUAAAAAAAAAACAACAAAUUUACCCCGUAAACGAACUUAGUCGAUUUCGAAUACUAAUCAGGAAGAAAAAAGGAAAUUAAAUUGAAAAGAGGAGGAACGAGCAUACCUUUGGGGGAGAGGUGGAGUCGGAGAGUUAAAAAGCAGCAAGAUUGAAAUCAAUCUGUUUCUGAGAAGUUAUAAUUACGAACCCUAGCGUUUUUGUACCGAAAAGAUCAGGUCAAGCUGUCGGCUAUUGUGGCCUAACUGACCCAGAUUUACUAAAUAUACCCCGUUUUAUUUAUGAAUACAGUCACAUCAAAAGGGGUGUCCAGAAUUACACAGUGCCAAGGUUAUUGGGGCCGCUCAACUAGUUUAGCUAAGAAAAAAAGUUAGUGUUUUUAACAACCCUUUAAAAUCCUUAUAACAACCUUUCUAAUUUCAUUUCCGAUCCUCAGUAUCAUUGACAAAAUACUAAUCCAUAUAUAAAAUCAACUAUUUUCAUAUAAAAAUUUACCCAAAAUUUCCUUUUAAAAUUGUAUAAAUUGUAUAAAUAAUUUAUCUGAUUUUUUUUUCUUUUGUUUAUAUAAUUUCUAUCUUUAUAACUCUAAACUCUUAUAAUUUUCUAAAAAAAUAUUUUUUUAUUAAAAUUUAAAAUAUAAAUAUAAAUUAUAAAAUAGCUUAGGCAUAAAAAAAUUCGUCAAAAUAAUUUAUCUAAGUACUUAAUUGAAUUUUCAUUCAAAAUAAAAAAUGUAUUAGGUUAUUCAAAUAAAUUCAAUUAAAAAGAGAUUUUAAGAGGGAUUUUGAGAAGUGCCAAAAGGCCUACUGAAAAUGUUGACAUAGUCACAAAGCCCAAAAAUUAAUAAUGUCAAUGCAUAGUUCAUUUUUACUUUUAUGUUUUUAUAAGAAUAUUUUUUUUUUGAAUUAUAUGAGAUUAAUACUUAGAUUACAAUUUAUAUUGUAUGAAAUUAUAAUUGAUAUUUAUAAUCAGACAAUUACUGAGACUAAUUUACAUUAAUUUUUAUAUAGUAUUGCUCUAAUUUUACCCUUUUUAAUAUUUGAGGAUGCUAACUGCCUUUAAAAAAUAAGUCCAUACAUGCGUUGCAAGGACUCGAACCACUACCUUUACAGUUAUGAGAGUAAGGUUCUAGCCACUCGCCCAAAGGCCAAGUGGUUUUUUUUUUUUAUAAGAAUAUACUUUGCAUAAUUAACUAGUUUUGUAAGUUGCGUUUUUUACGUCUUAAUAACUGAAAAGAAACAAUUGAACAAAGUGCUAUUCUAGAACGCUUCCCAUAGAUUACGACUGCGCAUUGUCAUUGACACAAUUGAGAACACUGUCUUAUUUCAUUUUUGUAUAAUACUCAAAAAUUGUAAUUACAGACUGCAAAGACUUGUGUUCUACAUUCUUUUGGACAGACGAGGGUACAUAAAUCACAUGUCACAGCUAUUUUUUAUUGCUGUGAAUCAAAUAAAUGAAUUCUGCAAAGCAUGAAUGUUCUUGCUGUGAUGAGUAAAAAAUUGAUUAUAAAUGCAAGGAACCAAAAAUAAUCACAUGUCAAGACUUUACAAGGUCUAUCACAGAAAUUCCAAUUGGAUAUGACCUGUGUAGCUUGGUCUUGAUGGCAGGGAUUUGCUCACUAAGGUAGUUGGCAUGAUCAAUUUUCUUCGUGCUUAUUGAUUUCUCAAUCACCGGAGACUCAUUAGCUUCCGUCAGGAAUUGGAGACCCUGGAAGAUUAUUAUUAUUAGACCAUGUCACUGAAAGAAUCUAAAAAGAUACAAGCAAAAUAAAUGAUAUCUAGUACCUAACAUACCUUCAAUGAGUUAUCCUCAUACCUCACUGAUGGAUGAUAUGGUAGCUGAGCACUCACCUCCUGCUUAAGUACAAAAAAUAGUGAUUUAAUCAGUAGGUCAAUAGAGAAUAAGGAAUAAUGAAUACAUGACCAAUUGACCACCUAUAUGCCCAAUUGCCCAUCCUCCGGAGCAGGGAGGAUUAAGUAAAAUAAGGGUUAUGCAUUUGAAGAAGGGCGGGCACGUAACCUGAAUUUGUUAGGGCAAUCUCCUUGUACUCAUUUACUACGCUAAUUUAGGAACAAGGCAGAAAGAGACAAAGGGACCAUCUAACCUGGAAAGGUUGAGUUAAAGCAUUCUUAACAUCUCCAGCGACUUGACAUAAAUACAUGAGACCUGAGUUAGCCAUAUCCUGCAUGAUGUUCAAGGAAAAGAGUAAAUAUCAAACAUUAAAAAUUGUUUUUUGAGUAAUUACUUAAAGCAGAAUUAAAGCAGAAGGUACUCCUUUCAGUUGCACAAUUCAAAUAUAACCUGUUUGCCCUCAAGAAGCUCAAGCUUUCCUUCCUGUUGAAAUCAUUGAAAGACAAUGCAUCAGCAAGUAAUGUUGUGAGCUUACCAAAUUUGCAUGCUAGUUAUAAAUUAGAGUUAUUUAGACAGAGAAUUGAAACUCACCAAGCCAGCUACCAUUUGACGAAUCAUUUCAAUGUCAAACCCAAUUUGAGAAAGGUUUGAAUUCAUCACAUCUACCCGUAUGCAAGUAAACAAUGAAAACGAGCAGCAUAAGCAAAGUUCCUUUGUGUAGCUAGAUGCAAGAUGCAGCCUCUACAUUAUCCCCUCUUUUUUCACUUGAUUAGGAUCCAAAGUCCAGAUCGUGUAUAGUAUUCUAUUUUAAUGAAUAAAGUACCAAAUUUCAUACCCAAAAUAGAAAAGAAUUACACGGUGUAAUCUUAAAAGGAAUUAAAUAUCCAUAUGGACACAAAACUCUCUUAAUUAAUGUUACAAACACUUAAUGUUCUUCAUUGUUGAAGAUACAAUGCCGCCAUUCUCUAAUUGAUCUUCUAAGCAUAAUCAACUGUCAGGAUGUACAAAAUUUGGUCUUCUAAUCAUCAUCAACUGUCAGGAUCUACAAAAGUGAGGAGCAGUAAAUGACAAGGAACAGGUUCGCAUCUGGAUUGAUUUAUUUCACCUUUUAAAUCUUAUGGUAUCUCUUUUAGCAUGUGGGUAAGGAUUUUCAAAAUUUAUUUCGACAGCUAAGAGAAAGCGACACUGUUUGAUCCUAUGUUGUUAACAAGAUUAGCUGACUUGAAUAGACAGCAGCUCCUACGUCUUAGUUACUUCAAAAGAUGCAGAUAGCUCAAAAAGAUGAUGUACAUCAUUUGCAAUGAGCUUAGACGUUUCUAUCUGCUCCUGCAGCUUCCAGUCCAAGUUUUGCAGCCUCUUUGAUAGUUGUCUCUUUGUUGACUGCAGAAGUAGUCUGUAUAAGUUAGAGAAUUGCCAUAUGGUAAACAAGUAAUCAAGUAGAAGGCAACCUAAAUCUACUUACAGCCAGUGUUUCAGAUACAUGCUCUAACUGCUUUGACACAGAUGCAACAGCAUUUGCCAUGUUAUGCUUUGUGACAAACAUUACAUCUGACAAUGACCAUCCCUGUGAAUAAGAUAAGAGCAAAAAAAAUAUGAUGUAAUCAGCAAAAACAACAAGCUUAAAUAACACAACACCAGAAGCCAUUGUGCUGGCAAAUGCUCAGGCUUUGAGUUAGAAGUUGUAAAAAAGACUCACCUUCCACCACAUGUAACAAUAUCCCAUUGCUCCAAUGGCAGCAGCUGGAGCUAAAUAAGAAGAAUAACCCCCUAUAUGUGCAGAAGAAAUGCAUAAGAUCUUAGCAGCUUAUUAAUACUGGGUUAUAUACUCAUAUGCGUUUUUUUCUUUUGGGUUCAAUAGAGACUGAUGCACAUACCGCUAGAAGAUGGAUUCCCAUUGAAGAUGGUUACAGGAUUGGAUAAUGUUAACUCUUUGAUCUCUUGUGACAAUUGUUGAAUCUGAAGGUAAAGGCAGAAAGAAGUACAUAAAUAAUAAGUACAUCCCUCAUGAGGAUGAAUAACGAAGAUAAUUUCCAACAAUCAGAGUGACCUUCAUUGUAUAGAAGAAGUAAAAACAGAAAGGACCCAGCUAAAGAAAACAAUUUACCAUUGUUUUGAAAAUUACCUAUUCCAACAUUAACAGGUUGCUACAGUUUAAAUAUGGUUAGGAUACUAUACAAGGGUUGUCUUGAUGAUAGAGGUUACAACUCCAAAACUUUUAGGUCGCUAAUCUAACAAUUCCAGCUACAAUUCUAACAUGUCAGGUAUAGUUAUAACUUGUAUCACAGCCACUCCCUUUAAAAGAAGGAUCAUCAAUACAAAAAGUUAAAGCUGCCAAAUAAUCAGAGGUAACUCACAGUAAUAGGCCUAGAUGAAGUGACAAAUUACAGAACUUAAAUUUUCAACAUUUUUGGUCUUAAACACAAAAUUAGCGUAUUCUCAAUAAGUAAUAACCUAGAUAGAAGUUCAAGAUGUCAAUUGCCAGGCCACCUUAGAUACCUUAAUACUAAAUCAUCCAAGUAGCACUCACAUCCCUUAAAAUAUUGAGAAAAGACAAGCAAUUUUCUUACACUUUUUCUUUCAAACACCCUCAAUGAAGCAAACAAUUGGCAGUACCUGAGCAGCAAGAAGUGCGCUAUCGUACUUAAAUGGCGAAAUCUGAACUUCAUCCACACCCUUAAGCAACUCUUGAAGCUGUGCAAUUAUCUCAGACAAUCUUCCGCUCCUCAAAACAAUUGAACCGGUCAAACCUAAAUCAUUGACCAAGAUUAAAGGCAAAGAAAAUAAAUAAACAAUAAAUUACUAGAUGAAAUUAAACUUACGACAAUAACUACGUCCAAUAAACAGAAAAAAGAAAAAAAUGAAUUUUUACCAAUGACUUCUGAGAAAUUCUGAUAGCAUACUUAAAACGUUACACAUAUUUAGUAAAACUAACACUUUAAAAUCAUAUCAAAUUUAAUGAUUUUAAUCGGUCUGUGAUUAUAAGAGGACUGAAAAUGAUUGCAGAGAGCGACCUGCGCCGAGAAGCACAAUGACUUUGGAAGUUGAGACUCCAGCCUGCAACGCCAUUGUUUUGCAGGUUGAGGCGUCGGUCGUCGUUUCCUCGUUUCAGGCCCAAGAAUAAUGUUGGGUUCACUUGAAGCAAGGAAAGGAAACUGUGAAACGAGUCCAAAAAAAUUAGAUGAAAGUUCUAGAAUACCCCUUUUCAAUUAUUGCUAAAGCCAAGAUUGCAAUUUGCAAGAUGCCAUAUUUUGUUUGAUAUAUUUCUCGAUUUUAAAAAAUGAAAUGGAAAAUAUAAUGGUCAUUUUGGACAUUUCGCGGGAAAAGAAAGAUUAAAAUGGAGUUAACGUUGUUAUUCUUUUGACAGUUACCACCCGCCUACCACUUCCACGCGUCUUCAAGCCCCGCCAAUGCCAUUGCCGUGAACGGUGAACCUAACACCGAGAGCGGGGGGGAAUAACUGAUAAUUUCAAUUCCAAAAAAAAUGAAAAUUUUAUCAAAAAUUCUCCCGCUUCUUCUUCUCUUGAUAACGUCAUCUUUCUUCUCUUCACAAGCCCAAGUUGGCGCCUCAAACCAAGAAUCCUUCACAUCAAUAAUUAUAUCUCAAACGGGCCUCGACUUUGUAAAGGACUUGCUCAUAACGAAAGCAAUCUCUUCAAUAAUCCCGUUAGCGCUACCCAAGAUUGAAAGGGCUGUUAAAAUCCCAAUUUUGGGCAAUGUUCGCAUGGUCUUAUCAAACAUCACGAUAUAUAACAUCGAUGUUUUGUCCUCUUACGUUAAGCCGGGGGACACUGGUGUUGUAUUUGUUGCCUACGGGACCACGUGUAAUUUGAGUGCGAAUUGGUUUUAUGAAUACACCACUUGGCUUUUGCCCAUUGAGAUUUCUGAUCAUGGAAUCGCUUCUGUUCAGGUAGUUUAUUUUGUUUAAUGUUGAGUUCUUAUAACAUUUUAUGCAAAUAAGAUUUAUUUAUUUAUUUUUUGAAAGUAAGUUUCUUGCUAUACUUUAUGUGUAACUGGUGAUGUUGGUAGACAAAUGUUACUAAAAUAGUCUGCAAUUACUAAUGGGGUGUAUAGAUUUGCAUCUCGGAAUGCUGUUUUAUCGAGUUAUAUCGAGUUAUGAGUCCGGUUUGUAGGUUUUGUGCUUUAAGUGUAGCUAGUGAUUUGGCUUUUACAUGUUUUAUUGAAAUUAGAGAAAGGACUUCAUAGAAAAUGGGUAUUGAAAAUGUCUGUCUUUGCAUACUAUGUGAUUGAUUUUCAAUCAUUAAAGGAUUUUUUUUUUUUUUUUUUUGGCUACAUAAUUUUUGUGUUUCAUUUGUAAUUGGUACUGUUGGUGAUUUUUGCUGCCAUUGUGAUACAGGGCACUGAGACAAUUUUGGAAUUAAUUUCUGUUUUUACAAUUUUACUGGCUUGUGGCUGUAGAGGUUUUCCUUAGAUAUGCUUUUAUAGUGGUGUAAUUUUAGAUUAUUAAGGUUGUUGCUAGUCUUAGAGGCGAUGCUUUAUCAUUGUUGUUUGAUUAUCCUCUGUAUUCUUUUUGUCUUCAAAAGAAAAAGGGAAAUUUGAUGUAGUGCUGCUUCUGGUUAAGGUUGAAGGCAUGCAAGUGGGGCUCACUUUAGGCUUAGAGACUCAAAAAGGAACUCUGAAGCUUUCCCUUGUUGACUGUGGUUGCUACGUCAAAGACAUCUCUAUAAAAUUGGAUGGAGGAGCUUCUUGGCUCUAUCAAGGGUAAGUCAUUUUUUAUUGUUUUAGGCUGUUUGUUUUAGUUGUUAUCUGCACUCUGUAUUUUCAGUUGGCUGUCUUAUGGAAUGUUAUGCAUCUAUCAUCUCUUAAAUAUCAUAUCUUGGGGAUCCUGCAAUUUUACAACUUUGUUUGCUGAAACUGGAAGUUGUAUCUUGCUAUAUCUGGAGACCCUUUUCUUCCUGUCUGGUUAUUAAAACUGUAUGGCUCUGUGGGUUGAAUGUUUUGUGCUGUGCCCCAUGCCAGAAGAACUCCAUAGUUUGUUCUUUUAUCAUUUACUUUAUUUCUAACAGCUCUGACGGCAAAUGAUUUUGCUUUCCCCAUUGAAUUUUGUUUAUCCUUGCAGAUGCCGCUGCAGUGCCUUAUAUGCACCAAUUGUUCUUCUUUUCAUUGAAUAAUAGGAGCAAUAAUUUCUUUCCUUUGAUUUUAACCAUUUUUUCUUUGUUUUUCAGAAUGAUCAAUGCGUUUGAAGAGCAAAUAGUGUCUGCAGUGGAAAAUGCUAUAACCAAGAAACUUAAAGAAGGGAUUUCAAAGCUUGAUUCAUUGCUACAAUCUCUUCCAAAAGAAAUUCCAGUGGAUGAUCAUGCUUCUUUGAAUAUUACCUUUGUGGAUAAUCCUUUAUUGACUAGUUCUUCAAUUGAGUUUGACAUCAAUGGGUUAUUUACAGCAAGGAAGAAGGCUUCAAUCCCUAACUACUACAACAGUAAUUUGCAACCUCCUGUCUUUUGCUCAGAUCAAUCUAAAAUGCUUGGAAUUUCACUAGAUGAAACCGUCUUGAACUCUGCAUCAGCCUUAUAUUAUGAUGUAAGUUUGGAAAUUUAACUUUUAUUAACUAUACCGACUGAACUGUGCUCUAUAAGUUUCUUAAGUGAUGAGGUUUUUGGCAGUGGCUACCUGAUUUUUCACAGGAAUUUUGCCUUGUAUUCAUGUUAGGUAGUGUAGAAUGAUGCCUUGAGCUAAGUUAUUGGACCCAAUGGGGGCAUUGACCACCAUUUCAAAUUAUUCCAUCAGAUUGAACUAGGAUUUACUCUGCAAUGAGUUAGAUCUAUCUUCAUAUCAUGAACGUUGUCAUAUCCAUGAGUAAUUUUGAGUUAGAUUUUGGUGAAACAUUGGUGUUGAGUAUCUAGAAUCAUGGUUGCUUACUACUGCCAAACCAAAAAAAAAAAAAAAAUUCUUGAAAGUAUAUGCUUUUUUUAUCAUAUUCUUAUAUUUGUCUGGUCUGUAAGUUUAAAUGGAAGUUGUUUUUCCCUUGUUAGGCAGAAUUUAUGCAAUGGACUGUGGAUAAAGUACCAGAUCAGUCCCUUUUAAACACAGCGGGAUGGAGGUUUAUCAUUCCUCAACUGUACAGAAAAUACCCAAAUGAUGAUAUGAAUUUGAAUAUCUCUUUAUCUUCCCCUCCAGUCAUAAGGGUUGCAGAGGAUAACAUUGAUGCCACAGUUCAUGCAGACUUGAUCAUUGAUGUUUUGGAAUCAGGCGAAGUGAUACCAGUUGCUUGCAUUUCAUUGGUAAGCUUAUAGAUAUGUAGCAAAACUUGUAUAUAUACUCUACUUCCUUUGUUUCUUUAUGCAGUUUUGCCUAUUUUUGCAUUUACUUCACCCCUAUUGCAUAAUUGGUCUUCAUUAGUCCAUAGUUCUUGAAACUUGUAUCACCAAUAUCAAUGGGAUAUUAAUGAUGGGCUGAUAGCUUAAUGGACUCAAGGUGUCAGCUGAGAAGGUGCAAUUCGCAUGCUUGAGCAUUGUCUUCCUUUUCCAUUUUCUGUGGCAUUUACAUUCUGCAGUGUUCAAAUUUAUGUAACUUUGUGGUGUACGUGAUCAAAAUUGAUUAAUCCUCAGGCUUUUAUAUUGAAUAUCACAAUCUUGUGCUACUUUGGUACAGGUUAUUCAUGGCUCAUGUUCAGUUAAAAUCUUACGUAAUAACCUUGGUGGUAGUGUGAAAUUGAACGGCUUUACGAUGUCAUUGACUUGGAGCAAAAUUGGUAAACUGCGGUUGUAUCUCAUUCAGGCAUGCUUCUUUACUUACCAAAAUAAGUACAUUGAUAAAAAUUGGCAAGUUACUAGUUAACUGAUGAAAAGUUCACAUCUUAUUCGAUUCCUGCAGCCGGUGGUGUGGGCAGUUAUCCAAACCGUUUUUGUGCCAUAUGUAAAUUCCCAUCUCGGACAAGGCUUCCCUUUGCCCAUCAUUCACGGUUUCACCGUUAAGAGUGCUGAGAUUAUAUGCUCAAGUUCGAAGAUUACAGUUUGCAGCGAUGUGGCAUAUGCAGAUUCACACAAUCUUAAUCAGAUUUUCAUUCCAUUUUCCAAUAGAUACACAUAAAUUAAGGUUUCAAGGAGUCCUGGAAAUGCUUGCAGGGAAAGCAAACAAAGUUUCAGUUUUCCAGAUUCUAACGCCUUUGUACAGAGUUGUUGAUAUUUAGGCUUCAGCUACAGUUCUUCUUCACCAGCUUUUCAGUGUACAAGUUUGAUAAAAAAAACUUCAAAUAUUUAUUUAUUUAUUUAUUUUGAUACAUGGUUUUUUAACAUUUUCACUGCUAAGAAAUUCAAUUUUUUUUUAAAGAAAAAUCAAAUUCCAUGUUGUCAUUAAUUAUUUCAUAAUGAAAUUUCAAAAUCUGAAGUUUGUAUGCACUGGUAGAAAAACAUUAUAAAAUUAUCUACACAGAGUGAUCCAACGUCAGUGUAAGAAUUUUCUGCAAUUGAGACGAGGAGCCAAGUGAAACGCGGCGUUUAAGCAAUUAGCUUAAAUUUUUAAGAAAACGCACCGUUUCAAAUUCGUCUUCCCACAAAUUGGGUAUCUGCGCCCGUCUCCGAAAGGCUGAAAAUUUGAAACCGGAUCACUCUUUCAGGCAAAACCUCUGAAAAACCUCUCUCAUAAUGCAACUUUCACUGCCCACUUCGCCCUCCAAACUCCCAACAAUUUUCCCAUUUCAUCCCUCCUCAAUCCCAAAAACCCCACAAUCUCCCCACCACCUCUCGCUCCAAUCCCACGUCGGUCCCCUAAACGCCCUCAAAUCCGCCGGGUUCUUAUCCUCCAUCAGCCGCGCUAUCGACGAAGAAGAAGAAUACCGCAAGGCUCGUGCCGCCGUCGUCCGCAAAGGCAUCGAUUUGGAAGGUUACACUAUCGAAGGCGUUUCGAUAGGCGGCCACGAAACAUGUGUUAUUAUACCUGAAUUGAAGUGUGCCUUCGAUAUUGGGAGGUGCCCCACUAGAGCAAUCCAGCAGAAUUUUGUUUUUAUCACUCAUGGCCAUCUUGACCAUAUUGUAAGUAGCUAUUUUUUUUUUUCAGUUAAUGACUGUGGAAGUUUGUAAUUUUAACGUCAUUAUGAGUGAGUUCAUGUAAGUUAAGUGCAUAUUUAAGGAUACGAUUAGGAUGGGGAUGUUGUGAGCUGGCGCGGAAUUAGAAUCACUAAUACAGUAUAAGCUGGUAGAUUGUUAAUAAAAAUUAACUUCAAAGUAAAAGUGACACUCUAAUUCCCAUGGUUUCAAAAUUAAGCAAAAAACAGUUAUAAGCUUAAAGCAUGCCCUUAUAUUGAUCGUAUAAGCAUGUGAUGAACCUAGUUAGUUGUUUUGAUUGUGCUUGGAGCUCCUUGCUUGCGAUUUGUCUGUUGUUGCCUAUAUUAUAUGAGCUUAUGCUGCGUUUACUGGCUUAGGGUGGGCUGCCAAUGUAUGUAGCAAGUCGUGGGCUGUACAACUUAAAGCCACCUACGAUAUUUGUUCCUCCUUCCAUUAAAGAAGAUGUGGAGAAGCUGUUUGAAAUUCACCGGUCCUUGGGCAAUGUGGAACUAAACCUCGAUUUGGUUGCAUUAGAUGUGGGUAUGUUGCUUUGGCUGUCUAAGUUUUGCAUUUGGCUGAUGACUUCCUUUUUAUCGAAGAUGACUUUAUGAUAUUGGCUUCAGGGGAAACUUACGAGAUGCGGAAUGACAUUGUUGUCCGUCCAUUUAAAACUCACCAUGUCAUACCAAGUCAGGUGGGUUCAUCAAAUUAUUGUUAGUUUAUUGGGCCUCUUUUUGACCUUUCAUUUUGUUUAAUAUGUUAAUCUGUCAUACUUGUAGUAUAAACUCUUUUGAAAUUGGGAUUUGCUUACUGUCUAAAACACUAAGUUAUGUGCAUCCCAGGGUUAUGUGAUUUACUUACUCAGGAAAAAACUGAAGAAGCAGUAUAUUCAUUUGAAAGGGAAGCAAAUUGAGAAAUUGAAAAAGUCUGGCGUUGAGGUUUGUAACUUAAACAAAAUGAAUUUUCUUUAAAUCUCUGUUACUUAGAAUUCAUUUCUCUUUGAACUUUUCAUUAUAGAUUACAGACAUCAUUUUGUCUCCAGAGGUGGCAUUUACAGGAGAUACAACUUCAGAGUUUAUGCUUAAUCCACGUAAUGCUGAUGCAUUGAGGGCAAAGAUUCUUAUUACCGAGGUAACAUGUGUGGGAGCUCCUAUGUUGACGAGUUGCUCAUUAUAAUUCUGUGUUGGAAAUGGUCCGAUUAUGCAUGCAGACUUCUAGCAAUAAUCUUCUUUUGAAAAAUUUUUUUUUAAAAAAAAAAACCCAAGAAGCCAACAUUCUUGUCAUCAUAUCAUUAUGGUUACAAUCUGUUGAAUCUUGACCUCUGACAGUGAAGCUCUCAUACCAGGCAACUUUCUUAGAUGAUGAGAUGAGCAUUGAACAUGCUCAACAACAUGGUCAUACUCAUUUGUCUGAGGUAUGUGAACUGUUGAUUUUGUCACACACUAAAUAAGAUCAAUGACUUCAGUUGAUGCUAGCUAAUUCAUAUGGAAUGUGAAUGUAUUAAAACUGCAGAUCAUUGAAAAUGCUAAGUGGAUUCGGAAUAAAGCAGUGUUGUUGACCCAUUUUUCCUCCCGCUAUCAUAUUGAGGUGACUACUUGAUUAAAUUUAAAAUCUUUUAUGAUGUUCUUAUAUCAUCUUAUAUGAGAAUGUGAAUAUCCAAGCUUCUAUCUGAGGUCAUAAAUGGUUCCUCAAUAUGAAUGGUGCCUCUCACAGGAAAGGCACUUUAAACAUGUAGGCCACGCCAGUUUGACACUCCCUUCCAGUCACUCUAAUUUGAUCGUUUACCAUCUGCUGAGCCCUGCUGUUUAUUGUUAAAUUCUUUCCAAACCUUAGGAUACAGAUUAAUAAGAUGGUUUUAAUUCAUUAUCCGCUGAAAUAUUCCAUUGAUUUAAGCAUCUUGUGCAGUGCAACCCUCGAAAGUGUUCAUUGCUCACUGUUUGAGCAGCAGUAUUUUUUUAGUAAGAACCAUCUGUAGCAGGGAUGAACCUCAUUUCUUCAUUUUAUGGAUGUUGUUAACUGAUUCUCUCGUAACAAUUGCAGGAUAUUCGCCAAGCCGUCUUGAAGUUGCAGUCAAAGGUGUCAGCAAAAGUGGUUCCUCUAACUGAAGGCUUCAAGUCGGUGUACACCUCUUAAGUCAUUUAUAUAGGAUUCACUUUUGUUUAACAGGGGUGGGGAUCUGUAAUCAGUUAUUAUUUUUACUUUUUCUUUUUGUAAUUUUAUCAGUUUUGUAGAGAGCUUGUGAUCUUAAUAGGAAAUCUUCUGUAAUGCAUCAUGUUGUUAAUAUGAUAGAGGCAUUCAAAUCAAACGAGCGGUGUAAAAUUGAAUGUGAAUGGCUUCCCUACCAUUGUCAAACGAUCAUACAAACAUGGCAAAUUAUGUCGAAAUUCUAAAAUGAUGAUUGUUAUAGAUAAUUAAAACAAAUGUGACAAUCAGUUGAAAUAAGUAAAAUCAGGCAUUUAUCAGUCGUCGACAUUGAUAUACAUAAUGAAUACUUCUCUUCACUGCAAAAGCCCCUCCCCCUGUACAGCUUGAGUAUUAUAUCUAUAUGGGAAAACUGAUAGUACAAAGUUUCCUGAUCUCUAUAAAAACAAUGAACUAACGAUUACAACAUUUUGCUUGGCAGCCACAGCAGGCCAUCUCCUGCAACCAAGUUCAACCAAUAAUAAUUUCAAAAUUUCUACAAAAAAAUUUACAUCGAAAUUUGUAAAAAUGAUAAAUUUUGGAAAAAGAAAAAAAAUACAAAAUUCUUCCAUUAUGAUGCUCAGAACAGCUCAUUAGUGCCAUAGCUACAAUUCAUUCUUUACUCCGUGAAUGUCAUUGACAUUUGGUGAAGAGAAGGGAAGCAUUUGUUCCUCCAAAGCCAAAAGAGUUUGACAAAGCUGCUGAUAUUGGCAUAUCCUUCGAAGCAGUUAAAGGCAUGAAAUUG